rnacentral:lncRNA from 1 species
GGUAAAAAUGAACUCUGCUUUCUUUUCUUGGUUUAUUCUUUCUAAGAAUAUACUUUAUGUUAUAUCACAUAUAAUAGCAAGUAAAUAGUUUUUUGGAUCUGUGAAUCCAAACUAUUCAAGAAAUAUACUGAUUAAUUGAAGUGGUAGUACUAAUGACCACAACAUUGUUGUUCUGUAGUUUGUUGCGAGUAACAGUGAAAGGAGUGAAUUUAAUAGAUGGACAAAAGACAAGAAGUCACCUAUGGAUGGUGGAUUUGGCUGGUAGUGAACGUGUGGGAAAGAUUGAUGUUGAAGGUGAAAGAUUGAAGGAAUCGCAAUUCAUUAAAUCUCUUUCAGCAUCUAAAACUGUAUAAAUAAGUCCCUAGACUUAUUAGUUCUUUGAAUUUUAGUCAAAUUGAUUUCCAAACCUUAUUACUCUUUCAUAUUAACACCUGAUUAAGCCCAUUCAAAGUACAAUUAGGUCCUUGGCUUCUUUAUUUUUUGCCAUUUUGCCCCCAUCUUCAGCUUUCUUCUUAAUUAAGCCUUCAUCUAUCAAAAUUGGACUGCCAAACUUUGCAGCAUUGUCCAUGUUGGUUCUCAAACCUCUAAUUUGUUCGGUCUUGACCACAUUUACAAUUCGCUUUCUAAAUUUCUUCAACAAGACCUGAAAUUGUCCAUCCACCUUAUCAGCUAUGAAUUAAAUAUUUGUCCGAACAUGAUUCAAAGCUUUAUUUAUUUAUUUAUUUAUUAUUAUUAUUAUUAUUUUAAACUUAGAAUAUUUGGAUUGUGACACAUACAUGCAAACUGUAAUCCUGUCAUCCUCUAUGGAAUGUGAUCUAGCAAUAACGUGACUAAAAUCCAAAAUUUAUCGUAAAUGGAGUAUGAUCAAAACUUUUAGUAGUUAUUGCAAGUUUUGCUAAAAAAUGUUUGAUGGUUUUGUUUUUAUAAUGUGUUCUUCUCUCUUUCUCUCUUUAAACAGUUAGGUGGCAGUUAACUAGGAAUUGGACUCGUUCUUGCUGCUUAGGAAAAUGGAAAAGGUGAAAGAAAAGAAAUAAGAACUGAUUUUGAAUGAUCAAGUUCUCAAUGGGAUCAUUGUUCCACAAGAACAAUAUGCUCUCUCUGCUACCUGCAAUGCAUCAGUUCCAUAUACUGAUUUUAACAAAGGAAUGAGCAAAGAAUAGAAGCCAUCGUCCCAACAAGUUUUUCAGUGAAAAACUAAAACACCAUUCACUUGUAUGGAAGAUGUUUCCACAAUAAAUUUUGUGAUUCAAUCCACAACAGCUUCGAACAGACUGGUGGCAAGUUCAUCUUAACGCCUGGGAUUUUUUUUUCAAAAGAUCAGGCCAUGGUUUUAUUUCAACAUUUCACGUCUAGUAUGAAGAACUAAACAUGACAUAUUACCUGUUGAUAUAAUUAACAACAAUGCAGCAGCAAAUUGAAACAGAAUGUCAUUGUUAGAGAAUAAUAUAAAUCAUAUCCUGGGAUCUCACCUAAUAGUUUAAGCUAUUGGGUUGAGAUGAUUAUUUGACAUGGUAUCAGAGCCUUGAUGACCAAGAGGUCACGAGUUCAAAUCUCACCAUCCCUAUUUAUUUGAUAAAAAUUAAGUACAAGGUAAAAUGGAUCUGUGCAAGUUUCAAGCCCAAAUAACUUUCACUUGAGGGGGUGUGUUAGAGAAUAAUAUAAAUCAUAUUCUGGGACCUCACCUAAUAGUUUAAGCUAUUGGGUUGAGAUGGUUAUUUGACAAUCAUCAUACAUGAAAAUGCAGGUUGCCAUACUCAGAUUUAGAACCAACCGAAUGAUUACCAUCAAGAACAUUUGGCCAUUCAGGAUCUUUCUUUCAAGCAGAAAAGAAAAUCACCAGGAAAUUACACGACCUUUUCGAUGCUUUAACUCAUCUUGGCCAGUGGGACAUCCUACUUUUUGACUAAUUUAUACACCCAACGUACGUUUAACACAAGAUCUACUCUACAUCAAUAAUUCAUAAGAAAUUGGCAUUCCACUCUCUCAUCAAUUAUUUAAGAUAUGACAGAGGAGAUAAGAAAACGAUUGCUAUUAUCGACAGUCUUCCUCUCCAGUCUCUGUCCCAACUAAAAAUAGUUUAAGCAAAAGUCAUGUUAAAUGAACAAUUCUGUUUUUUACCUUUUAUUUGGUCCUCAAACUAUAUUUUUUCGUGAGUCAACCCAUCCGACUAUUCUAUAAAAUUAACAAUUUUCGCAUCCCAAACUAAUUGAUCAGAUAUGUUGGGCGAAGCAUAUUAUAAUGGAUUGUGUAUGGUACAAUUCAUAGUAAAUAACUAAUGUCUAUCUUAAAAUUACAAAUAAAAUUAAAAUGCAUAAUAUUUUAUUAUGAUUAUUUUAUUGUGGAUUGUGCACACUAUAAUUUACAAUUUAUAGUAGACUGAUGUCUCCCUUAAAAAACAAAAUAAUUAAAUAAAUACUUAGGGUUAAUUUUGUAUUUUCAUAUCUUUAUUACACAAUAUAAUUACUCCUAUGGUCCUUGAAAAAAGAAUAGCAUAGGUAAUGUUUGGCGCUUGCUCUGCACAAGUUCUAUUUUAAUCUUAUCUUUUAAUAUUGAACUGAUUGAAGAUUAAAAUUUAUAAUUUGUUUUCAUUUGUUUUCCAUGCGGUUAUCUUGAUUUUAUAAUCCAGGUCGCGAGUAUUGACAAGUUAACUCAGGUAGUGUUUUUAGAUCUUUUUUAAUUGAUUUUUUUUUCAAUUCACUACAACAUUUAGUAGUUUUAACAACAAAAUUUUUCUGUCAGAGUAAGAUUACUACUCUGUCAGUGGAAAUUUCACCAACUAAUUUAUUAAUGGAAUGUUUCUGUUGGUAUACCGUUCGUCGGUAAUUCCACUAUUUGUCGCUAAUUCUAUCAAGAAAAAAAAUUAAAAAACAAUGAUUUUACAAACAUUUAGGAUCUUUCAUUCAAGCAGAAAAAGAACACAAUUCUAUUUUGGAUUUAAUAAAAAAGUAAAAUUUAAUCCUAAUGAUCCAAUUAAAAUCCAUGACUCAAACCUUGAUUAAGGUGGAAACCCAUGUCGGCACUAAAAACUAUGCAUCAUAUGUUAGGAGAAAAGUAGUAAAUUCUUCAGUGGAAACUUUAAUCAUGGUCUAGCAAGGGUUGUCUGGAAAAAGAUUCCGGAAGACCACCAGUAUCCACAAGGAAAUCACAAGGAAAUCACUGCUUGGCUGUGUUCAAAAAAGCAAAAAGGCACACAGCAAGUCAAGCAUCCGCGUACACGACGCUUUAACUCCUUUUGGCCGGUGGGACAUACUACUUUUUGACUAAUUUAUACACCCAGCUAGCGUUUAACACAAGAUAGAGCUCUACAUCAAUAAUAUGAUUGAUAUGAAACCGACCUCAACUUUUCCUCACCGACUAACAAAUUGUUUGGAAAUAUGGUGUAAAUUAUAUUUUUAAAAAAUUUAAUUUUUUUUGUUAAAAUUUAAUACAGUUUGUAUGUUUUAAAUUGUUUUGAUGUGCUGAUGUCAAAAAUAAUUUUUAAAAAAUAAAAAAAAUCAUUAGCAUAUAUUUUGGCAUGAAAAGUUAUUUGACAAGCAAUUGCUACCACACUGUCAAACAUGUCAAACAUACAAGUAAAGAAAAAGAAAAAUCGUUUUGAAUUGAGGUUGAAAUAAUUUUUUUUUGUUUUGUUAAAAUUUAGAUUUUUUUAGUGUUUUUACAUUGUAUUUUAAAGUAUUUAAUUUUUUUUUAAUUUUAAAUUAAUUUAUUUUAAUAAUUUUAUAUUGUUUUGAUAUGAUGAUGUAAAAAAUAAAUUAUAAAAAUUAUAAAAAUAUUAAUUUAAUAUAUUUUCAAAUAAAAAAUAUUUUAAAACACUGUAACAUUAAUAAACCGGCUGCCGGCUGUAAGGGCUUCAAUGUUUUAUACAAUUUGUGGGGUUUGGUUGGAGAUAAUAAUUAAUAAAAUCUAAUGCACACCUGGAUAAUCUCUAUUAAUUCAACUUUUUAAAAUAAUUAAUUACAAAAAAAUGUUGAGUCUUUGUCUGGUGAGUACUCUAUUAAAUUAUUAAUUUUCAUUCCCAACUUAUAAUUGGUUAAUUAGAUAAUAUAUAUUUGCUCAGCGUAUGGUAGUAAACAAUAUAUAGUAGUUUGAUGUUAUACACAUUCCUUCCAGGAAACUGACCUCAACGUCUCUUCCAUGGCACAUUAAGGAAACAAGAGAAAGAAGACGAUAUAUCCUCGUUGAGGCACACAGAGGGUUAAAGAUCAACAAGCUGCCCUUGAUUAAUAACUGGUACAACUUUCUUCCUAUUCGUCCAUUAAUUUCUCUCUGUUUUGGGUUAGAUUCCACUUGUUUGGCCAUUGCUGUAGCAUCAUUCAUGUUGUCUAUGUUAUUGAGUUUUCCCUUUUAGCUCAAAAUGACUCUGUAAUUAAUUAAGAUCUCAGCUAAUUUCCCACUGGCUCCUCUCUUUAUAACUCUCAUUGCUCUUCUUUGCUGGGCUCAUAUUUUUCUUCUUAAAUAUUCCUGCUCUGUUCUUUCUAUCUCAUUAUCUUCUGACAGUUAUUAUUCACUUCUAUCUCCUUCUUUCUGAUUUUCCACAUGUUUUGGGCUAGAACCUCUGAGCUAUAGACCACUAUAUUUGUCUGAUCAUUCUAAUACACUCUUGUUUGAUCAUAUUUAGCCUUUAUUUAUGAGAUAUAAAAUAAUCUCCCAAAGAAUAAAAAUAUGCCUUCUAUCUCCUUCUCUCUUUAUUUAUCAGUUGUAAGAUCUCAACUAGUCUUUGACUAAUAGUGAAUCUGAAAGAAUAAAAAUAUGGAUUGUCAAUCAAUUUUUGCCGUCUGCCUUCUGAUCUCACUUCUCCAUCUGAAUUUUCCAGUUGGUGUUAAAUAAUAUGGUUUUGGUUUUAACGAAUAUUCAUCGACAUGGCUCUUAUUGCUUGUUUGAUCAUAUUUAGCCUUUAUAUUACUCAUCAUUAUAAUUAUAUCGUUUGUUUUCUUAUUGCUUGUUACAGGGAAUAAUUAUAACAAGUAGAAAGCUUACGUCUACAUAUAUCAAUCAUAUACAACUAUGGCUUCCUCUUCUUCUCCCACUACUCCAUAUUUGAAGCACGAUGUGUUUCUCAGUUUUAGAGGCGCAGACACCCGCAAAGGUUUCACCAGUCAUCUUUAUGAUGCUUUAAAGCGAAGCCAAAUUGAUGCUUACAUCGAUAAUAAACUUGAUGGAGGAGAAAAGAUCGAGCCUGCCCUCUUGAAAAGGAUUGAAGAGUCGUUUAUUUCGCUAGUCAUUUUCUCUGAAAAUUAUGCAGAUUCUACUUUCUGUUUGAGGGAACUCUCCAAGAUUCUUGAGUGCAUGGAGACCAAACAACAGAUGGUGUUACCAGUUUUUUACCGACUUGAUCCAAGCCAUGUUCAAAAUCUGACUGGGAGCUAUGGAGAUGCACUUUGCAAGCAUGAAAGAGAUUGCAGUUCUGAAGAAGUAGAGAGUUGGGGACAUGCUUUGAAAGAAAUAGCUAGUGUCAAGGGCUGGGAUUCAAACGUCAUUAAGUAAGUUAUUACUUUAGUUGCAGCAUAUUAAACCCCAACUUAUGUAAACAAUUUUGUUCGAGAAUCAAUGUUGUGUUUGAUGUUAUGAUAAAAUUUCUUAGGUUAUGACAGCAUGUCUUUGUUCUUUAUUUGUUAUGCACUGCAGGGAUGAGACCAAGCUAAUUCAGGAAAUCGUUUCCGACAUUCGAAAGAAAUUGAGCCAUGAGCUGUCACUCUCACUCGAUGCAGAAGGCCUUGUUGGAAUAAAAUCACGCGUUGAAGACGUCGAAUCAUUACUAUCCUUUGGAUCAACUGGUGUGCUCAUUGUGGGAAUCUGGGGGAUGGGUGGUAUAGGUAAGUCAAGGACGGCUGAUUUUGUGUAUCAUCGAAACCGUAGUAAAUUUGAUGGCCAUUGCUUUUUCCAAAAUGUGAGGGAAGAAUCAAAGAAGCAUGGAGUGAAUCAUGUAAGACAGGAAAUUCUUGGUGAAGUAUUAGAGAAAAAAGAUAUGACUAUACGCCCAAUAGGGUUACCCCCGGACAUUAAGCGAAUGCUUCAAAGAAAAAAAGUCCUCAUAGUUCUUGAUGAUGUCAAUGAUCCACAAGAUUUAAAAUAUUUACUAGGAGAGGAUGGUUUGUUUGGCCAAGGAAGUAGAAUCAUUGUGACAAGUAGAGAUAGGCAAGUGCUUAUAAAUGCAUGUGAUGAAGACAAAAUUUACGAGGUUAAAAUUUUAGAUGAAGACGAUGCACUUCGACUCUUCAGCUUACAUGCUUUUAAACAAGAUCGUCCCAUGGAAGGAUAUACUGGGCUAUCAAAAACUGUGGUAAGCUGUGUUAAGGGCAUUCCAUUAGUUCUCAAGGUUUUAGGUGCCAAUCUAUACAAUAAAAGGAGUGUUGAAUACUGGGAAAGUAAGGUGGCACAGCUAAGAACAAAUGGUAGCGAGGACAUUAAGAAACAUUUGGAAAUGUGUUAUCAUGAAUUAAAUCAGACAGAAAAGAAAAUAUUUCUUGAUAUAGCAUGUUUCUUUGGACUGUGCGAAAGGGAUAUCCUCCAACAAACACUAGAUCUGAAAGAAAAAAGUGGGAUCGAUCGUCUCGCUGAUAUGUGUCUCAUAAAAAUUGUUCAAGACAAGAUCUGGAUGCAUGAUGUACUACUACUUCUAGGGCGAGAAAUCGUCCUCCGAGAAAAUGAUGACCCUAGAGAACGUAGCAGGUUGUGGGAGGCUGAUGAUAUCUAUCGUGUAUUAACAACUCAGGUAACGUUUCCAAGUGAUUUAAUUGACUGUUUCUUGACUUUCUUGUUUAUAGCUAAGAGAUGUAGCCUUGGACAAGAAUAAAUAUCAAGGCCAGCUUCUUCUUCUUCUUCUUCUUCUUCUUUAUUUGUUAUAUAUAUACUGAUUUACAGUUUGCUUUAAUUUGUUAAAUAGGGGACUAGAUCAAAAGUGGAAAGCAUAUCCCUCAUCUUGGAUGCAAAAGAUCAAUUGAGAUUAAGUCCUACAGCAUUUGAAGGGAUGUAUAAUUUAAGACUGCUCAAAAUCUACUACCCACCGUUCUUAGAGGAUCGUUCAAAGAAGCAAAUUAUGAAUGGAAAGAGGGUCGGAAUCCACCUUCCAGGAGGGCUUCACUUUCUUUCAAGUGAGCUAAGGUUUCUCUACUGGUAUAAUUACCCUUUGAAAUCCUUGCCAUCAAAUUUUUUCCCUGAGAAACCUUUUCAACUUGAAAUGCCCUGUAGCCAGCUUGAACAACUUUGGAAUGAAGGCCAGGUAUAUAUGCUUUAUCACCCUUCUUUUUCAAAUAUAGGACAUUUUUGAAAUUAUUCAUAACAUUUAUCUUGUCUUACAUUACUUUUUUUUUUAUUUACAGCCACUUGAGAAUUUAGAAUUAACGAACCCCCCUUCCUCAAAGCUGAGCUCAAUUGAUUCAGACCUGUCUAAAGUCCCACACCUUGAGGUUCUACAUCCAGGUAUACCUUCCUCGAUUAAAUACAGCACCAGACUUACCACAUUAGAGCUUCCCAGAUUCGAGAGUUUCUGUACUUUGCCAUCAUCAAUUCUAAGAUUAAACUUAUCUUUUUGUGAAAGUCUUGCUAGUCUACCAGACAACAUUGAUGAGUUGAAAUCUCUUGUAGAGCUUGAUCUUUAUUCUUGCUCAAAACUAGUAAGGCUUCCAAAUAGCAUUUGCAAGUUGAAAUGUCUUGCUAAGCUUAAUCUUGGUGGUCAGCCAAAACUAGCAAAUUUACCAGACAACAUUGGGGAAUUGAGAUCUCUUGCAGAGCUUAAUGUUUAUUCUUGCUCAAAACUAGCAAGUCUACCAGACAGCAUUGGUGAGUUGAGAUCUCUUGGAGCGCUUAAUGUUUUUUCUUGCUUAGGACUAGCAAGUCUACCGGACAGCAUUGGCGAGUUGAGAUCUCUUCAUUGUCUUUAUAUUACUUAUUGCUCAGGACUAUCAAGUCUACCAGACACCAUUGACGGGUUGAAAUCUCUCAAAGUGCUUGAUCUUAGUGAUUCCCCAGGACUAGCAAGUCUACCAGACAGUAUUGGUGCGUUGAAAUCACUUGAAUGCCUUGAUCUUCCUUGUUGCUCAGGACUAGUAAGUCUACCAGAUAGUAUUGGUGCGUUGAAAUCACUUCAACGCCUUGAUCUUAUUUGUUGCUCAGGACUAGCAAGUCUACCAGACAGUAUUGGUGCGAUGAAAUCUCUUAAACAACUUGAUCUUAGUGGUUGCUCAGGGCUAGCAAGUCUACCAGACAGUAUUGGUGCGAUGAAAUCUCUUAAACGGCUUGAUCUUAGUGGUUGCUCAGGACUAGCAAGUCUACCAGACAGCAUUUGCGUGUUGAAAUCUCUUAAAUUGCUUGAUCUUAGUGGUUGCUCAGGACUAGCAAGUCUACCGGACAGAAUUGGCGAGUUGAAAUAUCUUGAAUCGCUUGAACUUUGUGGUUGCUCAGGACUAGCAAGUCUACCAGACAGCAUUUACGAGUUGAAAUGUCUUGAAUGGCUUGAUCUUAGUGAUUGCUCGGACUAAAAAGUCUACCGGAAAACAUUGACGAGUUGAAACAUCUUACUAUGCUCUUUCUCAGUGGUUGCUUAAAACUAGCAAGUCUUCCAGACAACUUCAUUGAUCUUGAAUUAGAGGACUUGACAAAAAGCGUUGUUAUAUGCUGAGAGGAUUCCAGAAAGUAGAAGAAAUUGCAUCAUCCACCUAUAAAUUGGGCUGCCAUGAAUUUUUAAAUUUGGGAAAUUCUCGUGUGUUAAAAGCUCUAGAGAGCUUAGGCUCUUUGGUGUCGCUAACACGAUUGAGAUUAUCUAAGAUUGAUUUUGAGAGGAUACCUGCAAGCAUCAAGCACCUUACUAAGCUACGUGAACUCUAUUUAGAUGACUGCAAGCGGCUUCAAUGUUUACCAGAGCUUCCAUCGACUCUACAAGUUUUAAUCGCAUCAGGUUGCAUCUCUCUAAAAUCUGUAGCAAGUAUAUCCAUGCAAGGUGAUAGAGAAUAUGAAGAUGCUUCUCAGGAAUUCAAUUUCUCUGCAUGCCUCCAACUGGAUCAGAAUUCACGCACUAGAAUUAUGGGUGAUGCCCGUUUACGAAUUCAACGCAUAGCAACAUCAUUGUUUUAUAAGGUGAAUUCCUCCCUCGAUCUUGAUUUAUUUAAAGAAAAAAAUCACAAUAAUUUUUUAUAUGUAUCUCACAUUCUCACUCUCUUCGGUGUAGGAAUGUCAUUGUCAGCACUUUAGAGUUCGGUUGUGUAUUCCUGGGUUGGAAGUCCCGGAGUGUUUCAGUUAUAAAAAUAGAGAAGGAUCUUCAGUAAAAAUCCGGCAACCAGCUCAUUGGCAUCAUGGUUUCACUUUAUGCGCUGUUGUUUCAUUUGGCCAAAGAGGGGAAAGGCGUCCGGUUAAUAUUGAAUGUGAAUGCCAUUUGAUAAUCAAAGAUGGAACCCAGAUGGAUCUCAGUUCCUACAACUACAACGAAUAUGAAAGAGAGGAUAGGAGUACUAUAUGGAAAAGGGAGCAUGUGUUCAUUUGGAGUGUCAACUCUUAAGUGCUUUUUGAAGGAGGCCUCGUUUCAUUUCAAACCACUGUGCGGAGCUACUGAUGUGGUGGUUAGGUGUAGAGUCCAUCCAGUGUUAAAGUAGGAGCAACCAUACGCUAAAAUGGACAAACUUGUGGCAUUGGUAACUCGUCUUCUCCUCUUCUUUUUCUAUACAAAUAUGAAACAACUCAAUUAAAAUGAAACCAAACAGUCUUAUGAAUUAGAGAUGAAAAGGAUAUAUUUAUCCUCCUACUUUAACAUGAUUCUUAACCCCACCAUUAAAAUUGGAUCCAGUCUAUCACAUAUUACCAAUUAACCCCACCAUUAAAAUUUAUGGUAUAAAUGAUAUCAUUUUAAGGGGUACAUGGUUCUAAGGUCUUGAUAAAAAAAAAAAAAAUUAGUUUCGCAGGUUAACUCGGGUCAUUUUUUGUUUUUUUUAAUAUAUUUUUUUCUCAAUUUCAUAUUUCAACACUGAGUUAAUUGAGAAUUUGGCUUCAUAUGUUUUUUUAGUUUUCUAUGAGUUUAUCGUGAUCUUAAGAUCCAGGUCACAAGUUUUACGAGUUAGCAAGGUUGGCUAAAGUUUUUUUUUUUGUCCUUUUUUUUUUAUUUUUUUUUUAUUUUCAUCCCUCAACAUUGGGUUGAUUGAGAAUUUAACUUCAUAUUUUUAUUUUAUUUUAUUUUAAUCUAUAGAUUUGUCCUAGUCUCAUGAUUCGAGUUUAUCAUAUUAACCCGGGUUGACUCAAGAUAUUUUUUUAAUUGAUUUUUUUUCAAUUGAAUCCUUCAACAUUGGGUUGAUUGAAAAUUAUGCUUUGUAAUUUUUUUCUAUAGGGUUACCAUGAUCUCAUGACCCGGGUCGAUGGUUAGCUCGGUUGCCUCGAGUUGUUUUGUGUUCUUUUUAAAUGUAUUUGUUUUUCAAUUUCUUCUAUUAAUAUUGGGUUAAUUGUAAAUUAGGUUUCAUAAUUCAUUUUGGUUUGCUUUCUAUGAAGAUAUCUUGACCUCAUAACUCGAGUCACGGGUUUGGUUUGUGAACUUGGGUUGAAUCGAGUUGUUUUUUUAUGUUUUUUUGUUAAUUUUUUUUUUUACAAUUUUGUUUUUCAAUAUUGGAUUGAUUGAGAAUUAAGUUUUCUAAUUUUAAUUUGACUGGCAGUGUAGCGUGGAAAAUUAUUUAGUAUUAACUAUAAACUAAAAGAGGAGAGGUUUUUACUGUACCCCUCGUCACAAAGCAGUAUUCAUUGGAAUUAUGAUUUGCUUCUUAUUUUCCAUGCUUUUUUUGUUUAAUCAAUCUUUUUUUUAAUUUCAUCUUUUAAUAUUAGAUUUGUUUUUAUUGAGUUAUUUCAUUCUCAUGACACGGAUUGCUGGCUUGACGAGUUAACCUAGUUGACUCAAAUUUUUCUUCAAUUUCAUCAUUUAAUAUUGAUUUGAUAGGAAAUUAGAUUUCAUGAUCUGUUUUGUUUACUUUCUAUUGUGUUAUUUGCCUUAUGAUCGGAGAAUCAUGUUUAACAAGUUAACUCAAGUUGACUAAUAGUUUUUUGUGUCUUCUUUUAAUUUUAUUUUUUAAUUUUAUCCACUACAAGAUUUCACAGUUUUACCGACGGAAAUAUUCGGUAUGAAAGAUUAUGUACAAGACUAUGUACAAGACUAAUAUUCGGUAUGAUAAUCAAAAUAUAGUCAUUUAUGUCAAAUUUUUUGGUUGCAAAAAUUUUAUAUUAAUAAUUUUCUGUAGCUCUGAUUUAUAUCAUUUUGUUACUUGAUGAUAAUUAACUAUUGGUUAGUACAAACAUCAUGCCUGUGGCUAUUUGACAAGAAAAGUGGAUCAUGGAAGUUCUGUAUUAGCCCAAUUUUCAUUUGAGCACUCUAUCUGCAAAUGAUAAUAAAUACCUUGUUCCUCUCUAGUGUAGAUAAGCACGACAUCUAAUUGGGUUUAGGGUUUAAAAGAUUAUGUACAAGACUCCUAUUUGGAAGCCCACUGGUAUGAAAGAUUUAUAGUCUAACGGUAAGAAAUUGAGUUACAUGAAUGAAGUUUGAUGAAAUUUUAGUUUUCUUACAUGCAUGAAGGUUGGAGAUAAAACAAACAGCUGAAGGAACACAAGAAGUCCCAGGACUUGUUGAAACUCGGGUGACUGGCACAGAGGAUGUGUUGGAUUUACUCAAGUCUGGAAGUCGGGCCAGGUCUGUUGGAUCAAUCAGCGCUAAUGAGCUUAGCAGCCGUUCUCAUUGGUAAAAAUGAACUCUGCUUUCUUUUCUUGGUUUAUUCUUUCUAAGAAUAUACUUUAUGUUAUACCACAUAUAAUAGCAAGUGAAUAGUUUUUUGGAUCUGUGAAUCCAAACUAUUCAAGAAAUAUACCGAUUAAUUAAAGUGGUAGUACUAAUGACCACAACAUUGUUGGUCUGUAGUUUUUUGCGAGUAACAGUGAAAGGGGAGAAUUUAAUUGAUGGACAAAAGACAAGGAGUCACCUAUGGAUGGUCGAUUUGGCUGGAAGUGAACGUGUGGGAAAGAUUGAUGUUGAUGGUGAAGAUGGAAGGAAUCGCAAUUCAUUAAUAAUUCUCUUUCAGCAUCUAAAACUGGCCACAGUCCUUACAGGUCUUUCUCUCACACAGUCACUCUUGUACCAUGCUAUCCAAUUACCAUAUUAAUGAAGAUAUUUGUUUUCUUCCGAUUAGGAACUCAAAGCUAACCCAUUUGCUACAGAGCUCUCUCGGUGAGUAUUAAGUUUACUAUUUUUUAUGGUUACCAGUCAUUCUUAUUGUCUUGUUUGUCAGUAAAUGAUGCUAAGUGAAACAUGAAUGCAGGAGGAGAUUGUAUGUAAGACCUUGAUGUUUGUCCAAAUAAGUCCAAGUGUUACUGACCUUGGAGAGACUCUUUGCUCGCUAAAAUUUUGCGAGUCGAGUGCGAGGAACUGAAAGUGGUCAUGCCCGCAAACAGGCUGAUCUCACUGAACUUUUCAAAUACAAGCAAAUGGGGUAAAUACAUACUGCUCGUAUUUGAUGAAAUUUCUUUUGUCUCAGUUUCUUUUAUCUUGAUUCAUAUUUUCUUUCUUUUUUCUUUCCUUUUUUAAUUACAAAUAAUCAAGUUGAAAAGUUAAAGCAUGACGAGAAGGAAACAAAGAAGUGGCAGGAUAGCUUGCAAUCAUUGCAAUUGAGGCUUGCUGCUAGAGAACAUAUCUGCAGAUCUCUCCAAGAAAAGGUAAUUAUGAUGGCUUGAGCUCCAUUUAAUGCUUUUAUUUAUUUAUUAUUACUAUGAAACAUGUGGAAAAUUUAUUGGAGCUGUUUUUUCGUUUUUCUUUUGCGUUUAUUGUCCCUUAAAUGGCAUUUUUAAGUCAUUUUGUAGACUAACAAAUAACUUUUCUUACAAUAGGUUCGAGAGCUUGAGAAUCAGUUAGGUGAGGAAAGAAAAACUAGACUAAAGUAGGAAUCAAGAGCCUUUGCCGCUGCUACUUCUCAGUCUACGAAACAAGUAGAAGAGAAGAGAAGAGAAAAGUAGAUAAGAAGCCACCUCUGUGUCCUUCAAAGUUGAGGAUGCUUUUGAGAAAAAUCACCAAUUUCAUGCCUCCACCAUCUCCUCUACAAAAACAGAAAACUGGUUCUGUUUUAUCUUCAAUGCAUGAAAAAGAAAACAAUCCAAGGACCACAGUUGUGGUUUACUUCUUAUGUCUUACCAUUAACUUGUUCUUGCAUUGAUUCUGCAGUGUCUUGGAGGUGCCUUACGAUUGUUCAGCUGAGGCAGACUCGCUGCAUUCACUUAUGUUAAAGCUAGGUUCGAGAACAAUCGAUUCCAGAAGCCAAGGAAGCAACCAGAGACUUCAAGCAUACAUGUUGAUUGGUUUUGAUAUUGAAACACCCAGUACAUUCGUAUUGACAUUUUCACUUUCAGAUUUUGUGUUCUGCUCAGGACUCAAAACUCAGCACUAAAUAUGUGAGAUUUUCUGAUAUCAUUCAAUUGUACAUCUCAACUCCUUGAAUGAUGUGUCCCCUACGUCCUUGAGUGACAUGAAGGAUUGUAUUCCUUCAUGAUAAUUUUGUAUAUGUAUCUCACAUUCUCACUCUCUUCGGUGCAGGAAUAUUUUGUUAAGCCAAUUAGAGUUAGGCUGUGUAUUCCUGGGUUGGAAGUCCCGGAGUGGUUCUGUUAUAAAAAUACAGGAGGACCUUCAUUAAAUAUUCCAGCUCAUUGGCACCGUACUACUAACACUGAUCAGUUCCUGGGAUUCACCUUCUGCGCUGUUGUUUCAUUUGGCCACAGUAAGAAAAAGCGUCCCGUUAAUAUUAGAUGUGAAUGCCAUUUGAUAACCCAAGGUGGAAACCAGAGUGAUCUCAAUUUCUACUGCUAUGAAGAAGUUGAAAGAAAGGAGCGGUGUUUAUGGGAAAGGGAUCAUGUUUUCAUCUGGAGUAUCAACUCUAACUUCUUUUUCAAGGAGGCCUCGUUUCAUUUCAAACCACUGUGGGGAACUGCUGAUGUGGUGGUUAAGUGUGGAGUCCAUCCACUGUUUGUCCAAGACCGUUGAUGAAUCCUCUGUUAUUCAAAGAAUGUCCAUGGUGUCCAUGUUAAUGUGUUCAAAGAGCCCCCCUGCCUUCACUUAUGCUUCUUCGGCUGGAACUGUACAGGCGACGUCUCAAGGUUUGUCUACUAUCCAGUGAUCGGAUUUUUGAGUGUCUUUGGUCUCUGUGAGCUAGCCUCUAUAAAAAAAAAAGCAGCAAGGCAAAUAGAUGAUGCAUAAAGUUUUACUGAUGCAUUGCAGGCUCUUUGAAUUGAUUUAAUAAGCAAAUAAAGCCACAGUUGUGGUUUACUUCUUAUGUCUUAUCAUUAAGCUGUUCUUGCAUUGAUUCUGCAGUUUCUUGGAGGUGCCUUACGAUUGUUCAGCUGAGGCAGACUUGCUGCAUUCCCUUAUCGUUAGAGCUAGGUUCGAGAACAAUCGAUUCCAGAAGCCAAAGAAGCAACCAGAGACUUCAAGCAAACAUGUUGAUUGGUUUUGAUAUUGAAACACCCAGUACAUUCGUAUUGAGAUUUUCACUUUCAGAUUUUGUGUUCUGCUCAGGACUCAAAACUCAACACUAAAUAUGUGAGAUUUUCUGAUAUCAUUCAAUUGUACAUCUCAACUCCUUGAAUUAUGUAUCCUUUAAGUUCUCUGAAUGAUGUGUCCCCUGCUUCCUUGAGUGACAUGAAGGAUUUGUAUGGUAUAUUUGCAGUUCAGGCAUGUCAAAGUUUCAUGUUUUUGUUCUUUUGGGGGUGUAUGGUUUGUACUCCUCUUAUUAACUUUAUGUUCAUUGUGAAUGAAACCAAAGUAGAGUAUAAAAACUCUAUUUUCACGACUAUGCAUGGUAAGAAACUUCUGAACAGAAUACUUCUUAGCAAGAUUCCCACAUACCAAAAACCACUUUCUUCCCCCCAAAUCAACAAACAGGAACGAACAUAUAACAAGAAACCCAGUGACCAAAAAGCAUUCAACUAUAUUAAUUACCUGAACAGAAUACUUCUUAGCAAGACUAGUAACAGAAUCUCCUCUAGCAAUCUUAUGUGAAAUAGCAAACUUCCAAAUCCCAUUCUCUCUCCAAAAACUCCCAGACACAGGCUCCCCCACUAUCUCCUUCAACUUCCAUGGUUCCAUAAACGCAGGCCUCACAAUCGCAUCAUCAGAAGCCAUGUCUCUCCACAGCUUGCAAACACAGCUUGCACGUGCCAAGUCUCGAGCUCCGAGCUUUCGUAAGAUCAUAAUUAGUGUGUCCCUGCAUGUGAAGGAUGCGAGUGACACGUGGGAGUCCAUUGCCUUGGUGGUUUUGUUAUUCUUGAGUGGUGUAUUGAGAGAGGGAGGGGUAGAGGAGGCCUAGUGUUAGGGAGAGGGUAGUGGUAGAAGGUAAAGUCUUCCUCUUCGAUUUCAACUGAUUUGUAUAUGGGUUUUGGAUUUCUCUUGGUGGUGUUUUCAGUGGUGAUAGUGUCGGCGCUGGCGGCGGCGGAGGCGGCGAUUGUGUUUUGAUGGCCACAGGAUUAGGUGAAGAAGAAACGGUGGGUUUUCUUUUUGGGAAGAGGGUAAUAGUAGAAAAGGGAGUCUGUGUCAUCCAUCCUCUGUAUAGUUUGACUGGCUUGGUGUGUAUUGGAAAAGCUUUUUAAUUUUCAUUUAUCCUAGAUUAAAAUCUAGGUUAAAAAAACCCCAAUUGAUUAGGGCAAAACUCAAUUAAAGAUUCGUUGACUUUUCAAUAUUUUAGAUAAGCCUUUUUAAUCUAUGGCCCAAACCUUACCCUGUCUGUAUCAAUCCUAAAAUCUUAAAAUUAUGUUUUUGAAAAGCAAAUUGAUAUGAAUAUCUUUUUUAUCAUCUAAUACAAAAAAAUCACCUAUUAAUAACAAUAUAAUAAAAUGUAGUGAUGAGUGCUAAGAUAUAUUUAAAUAAUGACGUUGACAUUAAUAAUUUACCAUAAAUUUAGUAUUUAGUAUGAUGUAAGAGUGAAUUCUGUGAAAGUAACGGAAAACAUUGCGUAUUAUAAAUGCUGUAGUUAAAUCCAUGGACGGUCAAGGAUUAUUUCGAGCAUAGUUUUGAAAUUUGGCCAGCAGGUCGAUUUGGAAACCGACUGACUCGGGAUUAGAAUUGGACUGGGUUAAAAAAAAUAGAAAAAAUCAUGACCCGGUAUGACCCGGUUGCAACCCGAUCAAAAACCUAGUUGCAACCCGUUGACUUUUAUUUAUUUAUUUUUUUAUUAAAACAACGUCGUUUUAAUUUUUUUAAUAGGGAUUGACCCGGACGACUCGGUCAAAACCUGAAACCUGAACCUUGAAUCAAGCUAGAUUUAAAAACUAUAAUUUCAAUUGUAUCUCUUUGAAAAUAUGUUGUUUUUUUUUAAGAAAAAAUCCUUGAAACUUAAUAAAACAUAGUCCCCUUCAUUUUCACACUUAAAAAUGUUGAUCUUAUAUUUGAUUAUUAUUACUUUAUUAUUAUUUUGUAACUCAAAAUUGGGUUAUUACAUAGACAGUUGCAAGUAAACUGUAAUUUUUUUUUAUUAAGGUGAGUGUCUGGGUCAGCUUGUGUGUAUCUCAACUAAUUUCACGGGUUCUAAAAUUAAUGAUAAUGUAAGUCUCCAGUGAUCCUGAGAUCUGUGAAACUCAAAUCAAUAAUCUAAAAAAAAAAACAAAUCUAGAAUUUAAUUAAUUGAAGUACAUCCUUUUUUAUAUAUAACUUGGGGUGUUCGGGCUGUUAAAGUAAUUGAGAUCAAAUACAAAAAGGAGGCUACAAUUCUGAAUAAUCUGUUUAUUAUGAAUGCAUUGUGUUAACCUAAAUACAAAUAAAGUAUAUAUAGGUCAAACUGAAAGUAUUAUUCUACCCUUAAUAAAUAAGACUACAUAAAUAUUAUUUAACAUCUCCCCUCAAACUCACGAUGCGGCAGCUACAAGCAUCGAGAGUUUGCCAACCAGAAAACGAAAACGAGAGAUGGAAUGCGCCUUGGUAAAGAAAUUGCAAUCUGCAAGGAAGAAGGAACAAAAGGCAAAGCAAUGGUGCCAUGUUUGAGAUGAUGACGAGUAAGAUGACAAUCGAUCUCAAUGUGCUUAGUGCGCUCAUGAAAAACCGAGUUAUGAGCAAUCUGAAUAGAACUCUGGUUGUCACAAUACAUAGGAGUAGGAUGAGAAAAGGAAAUUCCCAUAUCAGCAAGUAACCAACGUAGCCAAACAAUCUCUUUGGUAGUAGAUGCCAUGGCACGAUAUUCUGCUUCGGUGGAUGAUUGAGAAACAAUAGAUUGUUUCUUGCUCUUCCAAGAAAUAAGAGAAUCACCUAAAAAGAUACAGAACCCGGUAACAGACUUGCGAUCUGUGGGAUCACUACCAUGAUCAGCAUCAGAGUAUGCACGCAACUCCAAGGAAGAGGUGGAUGAAAGUAACAGACUUUGAAAAACUGUACCCCAAAGAUAUCGCAAAAUACGAAGAACAGCUGCCCAGUGAACAGUAGUAGGAGAAGCAACAAACUGACUAACAACAUGAACAGCAUAUGCAAUAUCUGGACGAGUAAUUGUGAGAUAUACCAAACUCCCAACAAUAGUACGGUAUAAAGUAGGAUCUAUCAAAGGUAAACCAUCAGAAGAAGAGUACCUCGCGUUGACCUCAAUAGGAGUAUCUACAGUCUUGUUAUCAGUAAGUCUAGCUCGCUCAAGAAUAUCUGUAACAUAUUUUAACUGAGAAAGAAGGUAACCUCUAGGUGAGUAUGCUACCUCAAUACCUAGGAAAUAUCGAAGAUAACCCAAAUCCUUCAUUUCAAAUCGUCUAGCCAACUCUGUCUUCAAAACUGAAAUACCAUCAAUAUCAUCACCAGUAAUAAUCAUGUCAUCAACAUAUAAAGACAGAAUGAUACGACCUGCAUCAGUGCACUUAAUAAAAAGAGCAGAAUCAUGACUGCUAGAAACAAAGCCAAGAGACGAGAUCACAAUAGAGAAUUUCUCAAACCAAGCACGAGGUGCUUGUUUGAGACCAUAUAAUGCUUUCUUAAGCUUACAAACAUAUCCAGAGUCAUGUGAAAUACCAGGAGGGGGUGCCAUAUAAACUUCUUCUUGAAGAUCUCCAUUCAAGAAUGCAUUUUUAACAUCAAGCUGAGAAAUAUGCCACUGACGAAUCGAAGCUACGGCAAUAAGAGUACGAAUAGUAGUCAUUUUGGCAACCGGGGCAAAUGUCUCCUCAUAGUCCAUACCAUACUGUUGAGAGUAUCCUUUUGCAACCAGCCUAGCUUUGUAUCGCUCAAUAGACCCAUCAGAAUUAGUCUUGAUCUUAUACACCCAACGACAACCAACAACACUCUUACCAGGAGGUAGAGGAACCAGAUCCCAAGUAUCUGUCUUAUGCAAAGCAGAAAGUUCCUCAUCCAUAGCUUGCUGCCAAAGCGGAUCAAGAAUUGCCUCUUUAUAGGAAGAGGGCUCAAAGAGACAAUGAAUAGAAGCUAAAAAGGAAGUAAAUGAUGAAGAAUAACAAGAAUAAGCAAAAUCUGGUAGUUUUGUGGACUUACGAAUGCGGAUGGACUGACGUGGAGGUGGAUCCACAAUCUCAGAUGAAGCUUGAGGGGCUGUAGAUGAGAAUGGAGCUUCAGAUGUGCCAGAGAGUAAAGUACCAGUACCUGCAGAGUUAUGAGUACAAAUUGAUCGAACAUAGGGAGAGGUAUCAUUACCAGAAUCCUCAGAAAAAGGAUCUAUAUGAAUAAGAUCAGAUUUUGUCAGGCUAUGAGUAGUGGAUGGAAUAGAAAAGAAAGGUAUAUGCUCAAGGAAGACAACAUGACGAGACACAUAAAGUUUCUGAGUUAUUGGAUCAAAACAACGAUACCCCUUUUUACCUUCACCAUAACCCAGAAAGACACAAAUAGCGGAUCGAGAGGAUAGCUUAUUGCGUUCUACAUGAGGACGAAGAACAAAACAAGUACAACCAAAGACUUUAAAUGAGGAAUAAUCAGGGACAUGCCCAUAUAGCUUUUCAAAAGGAGAUAGACCCGAACUAUGAGAAGAUGAAAUUGUAUUAAUCAAACUUACAGCAGUAAGAACAGCUUCUCCCCAAAAUUCACUAGGAACAAAAGCAGACAACAAGAGAGAACGAGCAGUUUCGACAAUAUGCCUAUGUUUUCUUUCAGCUACACCAUUUUGUUCAGGAGUAUCUGUACAUGAAGUUUGGUGGAUGGUUCCAUCUAAGGCAAGCAUUUGACAAAAUUUAUUAGAGGUGUAUUCCCCACCCAAAUCACACCUAAAGCAUUUGAUCACAGCAGAAUGUUGAGUUUUGAUAAGAGCUCGAAAAGCUGCAUAUAUCUCAAAGAAUUCAGAACGAUGUUUCAUUAAAUAAACCCAACAAUAACGAGUAUGAUCAUCAAUAAAAGAGACAUAAUAUCGAGACCCUCCUUUUGUGGAAACAGGAGAAGGUCCCCAUACAUCAGAAUGAAUCAAAUCAAAUGGUGAAGAUGAAACAGAAAUACUUCGAUUAAAAGGUAAAGCAUAAAAUUUUGCCAGUUUACAUCCACUACAAUCAGAAAUGUCACAAGUUUUCAAAUUUCCUAAAGCUCCUGUGGAUGCCAAAAAUCUCAAACGAGAAGACGAAACAUGACCUAGACGGGAAUGCCAUAAAUAAAAACUAGAAGAUGAAAGACUCAAACGAAAGGAAGACAAAUCAGCAGUAGCAGCAGCAGCAGCAGCAGCAACUGGCACUUUUAACUCAUCCAAAAUAUAUAGCCCAUUCUCCCUACGGCCUGUCCCAAUCAGCUUCUGAGACUGCAGAUCCUGUACACAACAAAAAGAACCAGAAAACAUGACUAAAUAAUCACCAGAAUCACAUAUUUGACCAACAGACGCAAGAUUCAAUUUGAGUUUUGGAAUAAGAUAAACAUUAGGGAGAGACAAGUGAGGUGUGACAACAGAACCAACACCUGCUAAGGGCAUAGGAGUGCCAUCAGCAGUCAUAACAGGAAUGGAGGACAAAGGGGACACUGAGGUAAAAGAUGAGGAAUCUGGAGACAUAUGAUGUGAAGCACCAGAAUCCAAGACCCAUUCAGAGUGUGACAUACCUGAGGAACUAUGAGGCAACUGACCUAUGGAAGAAGCGGACAUUGCUUGUGGCUGCAGGGAGAGAAACUUCUGAAAUUGCUCAGCUAAAGUAUUAGGAUCGGUAAUAGAGCCUGGGGAAGCUACUGCUGCAGUAUUGUGGUGUGGUGGUUUAUAACCCUGAGGUGAUCGAUGAGCAUUAGAUUGUGACUGACUGCCAGACUUCCAAGCUUGAUUCUGCUGUCUCAACUUAGGACACUGAGCCUUCCAAUGACCUUUCUGCUUACAGAAACUGCACUCAUCGAAGCCAACCCUUGUGUAAGGCUUGUUCUGAUGAUUAGAGAAUGGCUUAGAAGGUACUGCUAGUACAGAAGGAUUCGAAGCAGAAAGAAUUCCCUUUUCAGAAUAAGACUGAAGACGUAUUUCUUCAGCCAAUAACUCACUGACAACAGAGUCAACAGAGGGCAGUGGAGAACGAUGCAGAAUUGAACCUCUAAGUCCUUCGAAAUCACUGCGAAGUGCUGUUAAAAAUUGUACCAAUCGUUCUGCUCUCUACGUUCAAUAUAAGCACCACAUGCUUUUAAUUCUGCCGAUUCUGUAAGAGCCAAUUGAUCCCAAAGAUUUGUCAUGGCAGAAUAGAACUCCUGAAUACUCAUAUUCUUCUGGUGAAGAGCUCGUAUGUCAUUCUCUAACUGAUACUGUUUUGCAAAAUUUGAUUGCGUGAAUAACCGUUGCAGAUGAUCCCAAACCUCCUUUGCUGUCUCAUACUUUGCCAACUGUGUACCUAUAGAAUGCUCAACAGAAUUGUUGAUCCAAGUAAUGAUCUUUGCAUUGUUUGCUUCCCAUGUAUCUAUCGAGACAGUAUCUCCUUCUUCAGUAUUCUUAGGUACCACAUAAGUUCCACUAACAUAUCCCCACAUCUUCUUACCCUUAAGAAAAUUUCUCAUUACAUAGCUCCAAUACGAAUAGUUCUUCCCAUCCAACCUCACACUCACAGACUGAAGCGAAUCAUCUCUUUCAGUAGCCAUAAUCAACAAUCACAAAGAACCAGAAUGCAAAAGCAGCGGAAAACAAAAUACCAAAUUGCAGAAACUGAACAGAGAUUGCAGAAACUAAACAAAUAUCUUCUCAAACUUAUACGAUUACUCCAAAACACAAAACAAAUUUGCAGAAACUGAACGGAAUUACCAAAUUGCAAAAGCUGAAGGGAAGACGAAAUAUCAAAAUAAUUGCAGAAACUGACGAAAUACCAAAUUUUGCAGAAGCGGAAGACAAACCCCCAGCCAACUCACCGCAGAGUUGGAUCCGCGAAGCUGUGUUCGGGAUUAAACCUCGUUCCAUAAAACCAGCUCUGAUACCAUGUUAAAGUAAUUGAGAUCAAAUACAAAAAGGAGGCUACAAUUCUGAAUAAUCUGUUUAUUAUGAAUGCAUUGUGUUAACCUAAAUACAAAUAAAGUAUAUAUAGGUCAAACUGAAAGUAUUAUUCUACCCUUAAUAAAUAAGACUACAUAAAUAUUAUUUAACACGGGCCAGCUUACGAGCACCACGACUAAUUCUCGGACCUGUUGAAUACCCUACAAACCCAGUACACAAGUAAAAUACCGCAAUAAUAACAGUCAUGCAUACAAAAAUUUAAACUUAGGAUGCAGAGACAGAAACGUAGGUCACGAACUUCGGUGCAAUUGAAUUACAUCCUCAGUGUUAGUAAAGUGUAAUCUUGUUGUGGAAUGUGAAACAGUUAGGUGGUAGCAUUAAAAUAGACUUAAAUAUAUUUUUAACUAGGAAUUGGUCUCCUUCUUGCUGCUUAGAGUGGCUAAUUCUGAAAAAAAAAACUACAGUUUCUGUUCUUUUUGUUGUCAUGACUAAUGGAAAGCUUUGGUUGGAUGAUAGUGUAUGCCGGAAAAAUGGAAAAGGCAAAAGAAAAAAAAAAACUGCAUUCUCAUCAUUGCAGACCUCUCCAGUCCUUGGUACUUCUUUUUUCUCUGGGAAUAAUUGAAUUUAAAUAUUAAAAAAAAAACCCAACCUAAUUCUUCAAUUUGAAUUCACUGUAGGCCCAUUGAUUUGGUUUGAUUUUUUUUGUUCUUUGAUAUAUUAUGUUUUUAUCAUUUUUUUUAAUUUAAUCCUUUAUCUUUGAAACAAUGAGGGUUUUUGCUUGGUAGAUUUUUGUGAAAUUAGGUUUAGUUAUUUUAUUUUGUUUUUCUAAUAGAAUUAUCCUAAUAUCAUAACAUAUUUACUAGUUUAAUAAGUUAGUUUAAAUUUACUCAGUUUUUUUUUUUUUGGAAUUUUUUAGAUUUGAACUUUGUAACUUUUUUCAUUUCACCUUCUAUUGUAUUAUUACAUUCGUAUGAUUCGAGUUGCAGGAUUUGAUGGGCUUGCCCAAGUUUGUAGUUGUUUUUUUUGUUUUUUUUGUUAAUUGUUUUUUUUUUAAUUUCACCCUUCUACAUUAAAUUUGUUGAGAAUUAAGCUUUAUAUUUUUUUUAUUUGUUUUCUAUUAUAUUAGCCUCAUGAUCCAGUUUACAGGUUUGACAUGCUUAUUAAGGUUGCUUUUUUUAUUUUUUUUUAAAAACAAUUAUCCUUUGAUAUUGAGUUGAGUGAGUUUUAUUUUUUUUGGUUGUAAAAUGUUUUUUUUCUAUAUUAUUAUGAUUGUUUUUUUGUUUGUUUAUUGUUGUUGAAUGUUUUUUUACCAUUUAAUUAAAUAAUAUUGAUUGAUGUUAGGUAAGCUAUCAAGCAGCAUAAUUAAAGAACUCUAAAACGUGUGGGAUAUUCACUGUAGCAGGUUUGUUUUUUUUUUUUUUUUGCUUUUGUUUUUUUUUACAUGUUUUUUUUUUGCUUUUUUUUUACCCAAAAUUGAUUUCUUCUUCUUUUUUUUAAAAAAAAAAUUUGUUUCAAAAUUAUCUUUGCUAAUUGUUUUAAAUAUUGAGCUGGUUGAAAAUUUAACUAUGUAGUUUUUUUCUUUAAAACAUUGUGGAUUGCUAUAAUAUUCUCAUACAUUGUUUUUUUUUUUAUAAUUUCUUUAUUCUUUUUUUUUUCAAAAUGGUUUUUGUAGAUUUUAUUUUUUUUAUAUUAAGUUGGUUGAGAAUUUAGCUUUGUAGUUUUUUUUUUUUAAAAAAAUAUGGAUUGUUACAGUGUUUCCCAUACAUAGUUUUUGUUUUGCUGCAGUGUUUCCCCAUAUAUUUUUUUAAAAAAUUAUCUUUAUUGAAUUUAGUUUUUCAAUAUUGAGCUGGCUGAUAAUCUAGCUUUAGCUUUCCCCAUAUGUUUUUUUUAUUUUUUUUAUUUUUCUUUUUUUCCAAAAUUGUCAUUUUUUACAUAUUUUCUUUUUUUUUGUUUUGUUUUUUUCAGAAUUAUUUUUGUUGAUUUUAUUUUUUUACUAUUGAACUGGUUGAAAAUUUAGUUUUUUUGUCUUUUUCUUUAAAACACUGUAACUUUCCCCACGUUUUUUUUUCCGCUUUUGUUUCCUUUUUUGUACAUUUUUUUUUUCAUUUCUUUUACCCAAAAUUGACUUCUUUUUUUUUAGAUAGCCUUUGUCUGGUUGAGAGAUUAACUUUGUAGCUUUUUUUUUAAAAAAAAAUACUAUGGAUUACUACAGUGUUUCCCUUACAUGGUUUUUGUUUGGCUACAGUGUUUCCCCCACAUGUUUUUUUUUUUUAAAUUAGCUUUGUUAAAUUUAUUUUUUCAAUAUUGAGUUGGUUGAGAAUUUAGCUUUAGCUUUCCCCACUUUUUUUUUUUUUUAAAUUUUCCCCACGUUUUUUCAUUAUAAUUAUAAUUAUAAUUAUAAUUAUAUUGUAUUAUAUUAUAUAACUGUUUUUUUUCUUUUGUUUUUUCUUUUAAUUUUUUUUAAUGAAUUUUUUCUGUUUGAUUUAGUUUGUUAAUGUUAAAUUUUUUAUUUAUUUAGUUAUCAGAUUUUCAUGAUACGAAUCUCGGGUUUGAUGGGUUAACCUGAUUUGACGAGUUAUUUUUUUCAUUUAGUUUAGUUUGUUAAAGUUAAUUUUCUUUCUAUUUAAUUAUCAGACUUUCAUACUUUCAUGACACGUAUCCUGGGCUUGACGGGUUAACUUGGUUUGAUGGGUUAACCCGGUUAAUUCUAGGUAAACCCGUCAUUUUUUUUUCUAUUUAGUUAUCAAACUUUUAUGACGCAAAUUCCAGGUUUUACGGGAUAACCUGGUUUAAAAGGUUGACCCAAUUAAUUCAAUGUUUUUUUUUUCUUUUUUUUCAUUAGUUUUUUCCUUCAUAUUGGUUUUUUUUUCUUUGUUUUUUUUAAUUAAUCUAUUUAAUUAUCACACUUUUAUGACACGACCUUAUAGCCAGACCCACAUCCAGUAUUCUUGGGUCUGGUGUUACAGCCAGACUCACUUAAACUUGGGUCAUGCAAGUUUAAUUUUAUUAUUAAUAUUAUAAAUAUUACUCUUAGGUCAGGCGUUGCAGCCAAACCCAAGAUUUUUAGGUAUAACUUUGCAGAAAAACCCAAGAUUUUUAAAUUUUUAUUUUUUUUAAUAUUUUUUAUGCAAAAACAAUGACCCGCGGCAUCGUGCGGGUAUCAAAGCUAGUUAAAAAGAAAACGUGUUGAAAAGUUUCACGAUUAAUUUGUUUGAUUAGGUUUAAUAAUAUUAUAAAAAAAUCAUUCAUAUUAUUGAAAUUAAAAAAAAUUCAAAACUAGUGUAAAGGGCAAUUAGGUGCUGACAUUAUUGUUUUUUUGUUAUUACAAUGUUAGAUGAUGGGGGACUUGGUAUUUUACCAAAGAUAAAAAAUAAUAUAAAAAUUAAAAACUAUAGUAAAAUGGUCAAAAUGCUCUUAGAAAUCAAAAAAUUAAAAAUGUCCUAAAAGGGUUUUUGCUUUUUUUUUUCAAUGGUUUUUUCAUUAUUAUUAUGUAAGUUUUGGGAAAACUUGAUAUUUUUUAAUCUAUAAAAACAGUAUAAUUAAAAAGAAUUACGUGAGAAAGGUCAAGCUUUUGCUACAUUUAUAGCCUCUGGAUAUUCGUAAUGAUUCUGCAAUUGAAGGGCCGUGUUACUAACAAUGCGGUUAUCAUGAACCAACUACAAGAGCUCAUGAAAAUGUUGAUGCCCAGAAUAAAGAGCAUUUAUUUUUAUUUUUUUUUAUUUAUAUAUCCCAUUAAUUAUAUAUUAUUUGUUUAUUUAUCGGAUUUAGAUAUUAAAAAUCGUCAUAGUUAAUAAAUUCAUGGUUAAGCUUUAGAAUGGGUAUUUAAGGAGAGUUUUGCUGUUUGCAACUCUUUAGCCUACCUUUGUAUCAACAAUUUCAACAUAAGCUUUCUCAAGAUAAUUAUAUGAUGUUUUUCCUAAGUUUAUUUUGUAGCUCUUUAUUUUAUUUAUAUGCUUUCUUUCAAUUUACAUGUUUUAUCUAUCAAUUUCUUUAAAUGUUUUCUCUACAUGUUCUCAAUUAUUUUUAUUGUUUCUUUAUCAUGUAAAUUAGUGUGUGUACGUAUAUAUAUUGUAUUAGCUCGAUACUUCUAUGUUUUUCUUAUAAUAAUCAAGAUAGAAUAUUAAUAAGAUUUAGUUAGAGUCACAAAGAAAAUAAUAAACUGACUAAAAAAAUUUAUAGUGAAAAAAUAAAAAAACAACAAAAAAAUAUUAAUUCUAAAUAUUAUAUCACCUUAUCAUUGAAUAUUUAACUAGAUUAAUACCUAUAUAAGUAAAAUUCUAAAAUAAUAAACUUUAUUCCAACCAGGAUUGAUAAUAUCAAAAAUAGACUACAAGAUACAACGAACAACAAUCCAUACUUCUAUGUAAAUUCUAUAGUUUAUUAAUACAAAUAUUUAUGAUUUAUUGCUUGAUUUAAACCUAUAAUUUAUUGUUUAAUGUAAACUUUAAGAUUUAUUUCUUAAUUUAAACCUUUUUGUUUGAAGCUAGAGUGGACCUUAUUGUUUCUCGAUCAAUACAAACUUUACCAUUUAUUAUUUAAUAAAAUAUUAUUGUUUAUUGCUUUAUAUGGACUUAUUAGUUAUUAUAAACACUACAAUGUUAUGUCGAUGUAAAAAUUAUUUCUUCGUGUUAGGAAGAAAUAUUAGUUUAUGCUCAUAUGGGCUUAUCUUCAAUGACAAGUAAAGGAAAAGAAAAAGAAGAUAUCUGACCAAUGCUGUCCUCUUUUCCUUUCGGUUUUCUCGGGCCAGCCCUCCUCUCUUUUAUCCUCUCUUUUUCUUCCUCAACGUAUCUUCCAUGGCACAUUAAGGAAACACGCAAAAGAAGAGGAUAUAUCCUCGUUGUGGCACACAGAGGGUUAAAGAUCAACAAGCUGCCCUUGAUUAAUAACUGGUAAAACUUUCUUCCUAUUCGUCCAUUAAUUUCUCUCUGUUUUGGGUUAGAUUCUACUUGUUUGGCCAUUGCUGUAGCAUCAUUCAUGUUGUUUAUGUUAGUGAGUUUUCUCUUUUAGCUCAAAAUGACUGUGUAAUUAAGAUCUCAGCUAAUUUCCCACUAGCAUUGUGGCACAAAGAGGGUUAAAGAUCAACAAGCUGCCCUUGAAUAACUGGUAUGACUUCCUUCCUGUACGUACGUCCAUUAAUUUCUCUAUAGCUAUUCCAGUAACGAAUGUCAAUGAAAUCUCUCUGUUUUGGGUUCUAGUGAGAGUUGUUUUCUUUGCUACAGUAUUCUUAUAUUACUGAUCAUCAUAAUCGUUUGUUUUCUUUUUGCUUGUUACAGGGAAUAAUUAUCACAAGUAGAAAGCUUACGUCUACAUAUAUCAAGCGUAUAAAAAUAUGGCUUCCACUUCUUCUCCCACUACUCCAUAUUUGAAGCACGAUGUAUUCCUCAGUUUUAGAGGCACAGACACCCGCAAUAGUUUUACCAGUCAUCUUUAUGAUGCUUUGCAGCGAAACCAGAUUAAUGCUUACAUCGAUGAUAAACUUGAUGGAGGAGAAAAGAUCGAGCCUGCCAUCUUGGAAAGGAUUGAAGAGUCGUAUAUUUCGGUAGUCAUUUUCUCUGAAAAUUAUGCAUAUUCUACUUUCUGUUUAAGAGAACUCUCCAAGAUUCUUGAGUGCAUGGAGACCAAACAACAGAUGGUUUUACCAGUUUUUCACCAACUUGAUCCAUGCCAAGUUCAAAACCUGACUGGGAGCUAUGGAGAUGCACUUUGCAAGCAUGAAAAAGAUUGUGGUUCUAAAGAAGUAGAGAGUUGGAGAAAUGCUUUGAAAGAAAUAGCUAAUCUCAAGGGCUGGAAUUCAAACGUCAUUAAGUAAGUUAUUAAUCAGCUACAGUGUAUUAAACCCCAACAUAUAUAAACCAUUUUUGUUCGAGAAUUAAUAUUAUGUUUGAUGUUAUGAUAAAAUUUCUUAGGUUAUAGUUGCUUGUUUUACUUACUAGUCUGUCUUUGUUCUUAAUUUAUUAUGCAUUGUGCAGGGAUGAGACAAAGCUAAUUCAGGAAAUCGUUUCCGACAUUCAAAAGAAAUUGAACCAUGCGCCCUCAAUCGAUGCAGAACGCCUUGUUGGAAUGGAAUCACGCGUUGAAGACAUCGAAUCAUUACUAUCCUUUGGAUCAACCGGUACUGUGCUCAUUGUGGGAAUCUGGGGGAUGUGUGGUAUAGGCAAGUCAACAACGGCUGAAGCUGUGUAUCAUCGAAACUGUAGUAAAUUUGAAGGCCAUUGCUUUUUCCAAAAUGUUAGGGAAGAAUCAAAGAAGCAUGGAAUAGAUCAUGUACGACAGGAAAUUCUUGGUGAAGUAUUAGAGAAGAAAGAUAUGACUAUACGCACAAAAGUGUUACCCCCGGCCAUUAAUUAAGCGAAUGCUUCAAAGAAAAAAAGUUCUCAUAGUUCUUGAUGAUGUCAACGAUCCGCAAGUUUUAAAAUAUUUAGUAGGAGGGGAUGGUUUGUUUGGCCAAGGAAGUAGAAUCAUUGUGACAAGUAGAGAUAGGCAAGUGCUUAUAAAUGCAUGUGAUGAAGACAAAAUUUACGAGGUCAAAAUUUUAGAUAAAGACGAUGCUCUUCGACUCUUCAGCUUACAUGCUUUUAAACAAAAUAAUCCCAUAAAAGGAUAUAUUAGGCUAUCAAAAACCGUGGUAAGCUGUGUUAAGGGCAUUCCAUUAGUUCUCGAGGUUUUAGGUGCCAGUCUAUACAGAAAGACUAGUGUAGAAUACUGGGAAAGCAAGGUGGCACAGCUAAGAACAAAUGGUGGCGAGGACAUUAAGAAAUGUUUGGAAAUGUGCUAUCAUGAUCUAGAUCAGACACAAAAGAAAAUAUUUCUUGAUAUAGCAUGUUUCUUUGGACGGUGCAAAAGGGAUCUCCUCCAACAAACACUAGAUCUGGAAGAAAGAAGUGGGAUAGAUCGUCUCAUUGAUAUGUGUCUCAUAAAAAUUGUUCAAAACAAGAUCUGGAUGCAUGAUAUGCUACUAAAACUAGGGAAAAAAAUUGUCCUCCAAGAACACGUUGACCCUAGAGAACGUAGCAGGUUGUGGAAGGCUGAUGAUGUCAAUCGUGUAUUAACAACUCAGGUAACAUUUCUAAGUGAUUUAGUUGACUGUUGUUUGGGAUUCUUGUUUAUAGCCAGGAGAUGUAGCCUUGGACAAGAAUAAAGAUCAAAGCCAGCUUCUUCUUCUUCUUCUUCUGUUUUUUUUUUUUUAAGUUCUUUUUUUGUUAUAGUUAUAUACUGAUUUACACCUUGCUUGUGUUAAAUAGGGGACUAGAAAAGUGGAAAGCAUAAUCCUCAACUUGCUUGGAAUUACUAAAGAAAUGAUCUUAAGUCCUACAGCAUUUGAAGGGAUGUCUAAUUUAAGAUUGCUCAAAUUCUAUUAUCCACCUUUCUUUGGGGUUCCCUCAAAGGAGAAAAUUAUGAAUCGAAGGAGGGUCAGAAUUCACCUUCCUCAAGGGCUUCACUUUCUUUCCAAUGAACUAAGGAUUCUCCAUUGGUAUAAUUACCCUUUGAAAUCCUUACCAUCAAAUUUUUGUCCUGAGAAACUUGUUGAAUUUCACAUGCAUUGUAGCCAGCUUGAACAACUCUGGAAUGAAUUCCAGGUAUGCUUUAGCAUCCUUCUUUAUCAAAUAUAGGACAUUAUUUAAAUUAUUCAUGACAUUAUUUUAUGCCUUUUUUUUAAUUUGCAGCCACUUGAAAAUUUGAAAGUAAUGAACCUCCGUUCCUCCUCAAAGCUGAGCCUAAGUGAUUCAGACUUGUCUAAAUUCCCAAAUCUUGAGGUUCUAAAUCUGGGACAGUGUAGAGGUUUGGCUGGUUUACCUUCCUCUAUUAAAUACAGCACCAGACUUACUGAAUUGAUCCUUUACCAUUGUGAUAGUUUAUCUACUUUGCCAUCAUCAAUUGGAUGCCUCUCUCAGCUUGUUAAAUUGAAAUUAAUUUUCUGUAGAAGUCUUGCUAGUCUACCAGACAGCAUUGGUGAGUUGAAAUCUCUUGAAGAUCUUUAUCUUUAUUCUUGCUCAAAAUUAGCAAGUCUUCCAAACAGUUUUCGCGAGUUGAAAUGUCUUGCUAAGCUUAAUCUUAUUCGUUGCUCAGAACUAGUAAGUUUACCAGACAACAUUGGUGAGUUGAAAUCUCUUGUAGAGCUUAAACUUUUUUCUUGCUCAAAACUAGAAAGUCUUCCAAAUAGCAUUGGCGGGUUGAAAUGUCUUGCAGAGAUUUGUCUUUUUAACUUUUCAAAGCUAACAAGUCUACCAUACAGUAUUGGUAAGUUGAAAUGUCUUGUGAAGCUUAAUCUUAGUUAUUUCUCAAAACUUGCAAGUCUGCCGGACUGCUUCGGCGAGCUGAAAUCUCUUGUAUUGCUUCAUAUUUCUUUUUGUCCAAAACUAGUAAGUCUUUCAAACAGUAUUGGUCAGUUGAAAUGUCUCGCAGAGCUUAAUCUUAGUGGAUGCUCAGAACUAGCAAAUCUUCCAAACAACAUCUAUUAUCUGGAAUCUCUUAAAUGGAUUAACCUAGAACGUUGCUAUAUGCUGAAUAAAUCCCCAGUACUGAACCCGAGGUGUUCAGAAGUAGAAGAAAUAGCAUUUGGUGGAUGUCUCUGUUAAAAACAGAAAAGACUACAAUGAAAAACAGAGUAUAAGAGAGUUUGGUUCACACUAGUUUUUGCAGUCAAUCCACUAAUAUUCAAAGAACACGAUGGCCCUUUUUAAAGGCUUUACAAGAUAACUGAAAUGAAAUAAAUAGCCACGAUUUUACAGCACCUGCAAUCGUGGGAGUUAAUUAUUUUGAACGUGCAACGUUACUUCCUUCAUAACAAGAACCGUUAUGCAAGUGAAGCAAUAAACAAGGAAGACUGAAGAAAAUCCUAACAACUUAAAGAAAACGUCAACUUUAACAUCCUCCCUUAGACUAAAUACUAUUAUCAUUUAGUCUACUGCUGGAUAAGAACAAACACCCAACAUAUCUCGCAGCUUUAAGAAAACGUCAAGUUUCAAAGGUUUUGUAAGAAUGUCUGCAAUUUGCUUAUGAGUUGAACACUGAACCAACUCCACAAUUCCUUCCCUUGUAAGAUCACGGAGAAAGUGAAAACGAAUAUCAAUGUGCUUGCUACGACCAUGCAGAAUUGGAUUUUUUGAGAGCUUAAUGGCUGAUACGUUGUCACAAUAUACCACUGUAGAUUUGCUUUGAUCAUGACAUAGUUCUUUUAGAAUUCUCCUUAAACAGACAACUUGACAAGCACUAUAUGCUGCAGAAAUAAACUCAGCCUCAGUGGUGGAAAGGGUAACCACUGGCUGUUUUUUCGAAGACCAGGACACAGCACCAGAGCUCAUCAGAAAUACAUACCCCGAAGUGCUCUUUCUGUCAUUUUGAUCCCCUGCGUAAUCACUAUCAGUGUAUCCCAAGAGCUCAUGAUUUCCUUCUUUCUUGUAGAACACCCCGAGGCUACUGGUUCCCUUUACAUAUCGCAAGACUCUCUUUGCUGCCUGUAGAUGCAUUUUAGUGGGAUGUUCCAUGUAUCUACUGAUCAGACUCACAACAAAUGUUAUAUCAGGACGUGUGGCUGUCAGAUACAUAAGAAUGCCAACUAUUUUUUUGUAGAGUGUGCUGUCAAUCCUUACUCUAUCUUCAUCCUUGCUGAGUUUAUGCCCAGGAACAACUGGAUUUUUCACUGGAUUGCAUUGAUCCAUUUUGAACCUGUCAAGCACCUCCUGUGCGUAUUUUCGUUGUCCAAUGAAAACACCAUCUGGUCGUUGCAACACCUCAAUGCCAAGGAAAUACUUCAUCUUUCCAAGAUCAGUCAUCUCAAAUUCAUUCAUCAUGGAUUGUUUGAAAUCUUUGAACAUAGCUGCAUCAUUUCCAGUAAAUAUAAGGUCAUCAACGUAAAGACAAACAAAUAAUGUUGUACCUCCAUCCGUUGUUUUGAUGAACAAAGUAUGUUCAUAGGGGCAUUUUUUGAAACCUGCACUUAAGAAAUAAGUCUCUAUACGGCUGUACCAAGCUCUAGGAGCUUGUUUAAGACCAUACAAGGCUUUCUUAAGUUUGUACACCUUGUAUUCAUGGCCUGUUUUCUCAUAGCCAGGAGGUUGGGUGACAAACACUUCUUCAUUCAGUUCUCCGUUUAGAAAAGCAGACUUGACGUCUAGUUGAUAGAUUAUCCAACCUUUCUGAGCAGCAAGCGAAAUCACAACUUGAAUGGUGUCUAGCCUAGCAACUGGUGCAAAUACCUCAGCAUAAUCUACUCCAUACUGUUGGCUGUAACCUUUUGCAACGAGUCUUGCCUUGUACUUAUCUACUUCUCCUUUCUCAUUGAGUUUUGUCUUGUAAACCCACUUGACACCGAUAACUCUGCUGCCAAUUGGUAACUCUGUCAGUUCCCAAGUAUUAUUUCUUUCUAUGGCUUCAAUUUCUGAGUUCAUGGCCUGCCUUCAUUUCACAUUCUUCACUGCAUCUUCAAAAAAAAUUGGAUCACUGUCAACAGACAAUGCCAAAUAAGCAAAGUUGGAGACUUCUUCCUCAGAGAGACCUUGUCCACUUUCAUAGUCUUGCAUCCAUACUGGUGGUCUUCGUUGUCUUAAGUCAUGAGGUGAGUUCUCAUUAGUUUCCUCAUGAGAUGAGUCAUCCUAAGCAGCAGCAGUACCAUGAUCAACAUGAUCCAUUUCUUCGUUUUGAGCUGCAAUACCAUGAUCAGUUGUUUCACUACCCUCACUUUCUUCAGUGCUGUUAGCUUCAGAUUCCUCUUCAUUGGCACCAACACCUGUGCCCUCUCCUUCAUCUUGUUCCCACACAAGAUCAGAUACAAUUUCUUUGUUAUAACAAACCUCCCAAUCCCAACGUUGAUCUUCUUCAAAAACAACAUCUCUGCUUAUAAUUAUUUUAUGAGAAAUAUGAUCAAAUAAUCUGUAAGCUUUGGACUCGUCACUUACCCCAAAGAAUAUAAAUUUUCGGCUCUUGUUGUCAAGUUUCACUCUUUUGUUAUUAGGGACAUGAACGUGAGAUAUACAUCCAAAGACUCUGAAAUGACUUACUGAUGGUUUGAUGCCGCUCCAGGCCUCUUCUGGGGUCUUACUUCUCACAGCAAACGUGGGACUUCUAUUGAGAAUAUGCACAGUCCAGUUAACUGCUUCAGGCCAAAAUGUGUUUGGAACCUGCUUCCCAGAAAGCAUGCAACGUACCAUAUUCAUAAUUGUUUGAUUCUUCCUCUCGGCAACGCCGUUCUGCUGGAGUGUGUAUGCAGCUGUUAGCUGUCUUUGAAUCCCAUUCACACCACAAAAAUUAGUGAAGUCUUGUGAUGUGAAUUCUCCUCCACGAUCGGUACGUAGUGCUUUGAUGCAUGCUUCUGCUUCUUUUUCAACCUUAGCUUUAUAGUGUUUAAAAACAACAAAGGCUUCACUCUUUUCAACCAAAAAAUACACCCAAGUUUUUCGACUGAAAUCAUCUAUGAAAGUGAGGAGAUACCUCUUUUUGCUGUUUGACAUUGGAUUGAUUGGCCCGCAGAUAUCAGCAUGUACUAGCUGAAGAAUACUUGAUGCCCUCCAUGUGCUGACCUUUGGAAAUGGAUCUCUUCGUUGUUUGCCCACUAAGCAAUCUUCACAGACUUUAGAAGGGAUGCUAAACUGUUGUGGCAUGCCCUCUACCAUCUUUUUCUGUUGAAGAACUUGGAGACCAGUCCAACCUAGGUGCCCAUAUCGACAAUGCCAAAGAUGAGAUUGGUCUGUGAUAAGGGAGACAAAACACUUUUGUUCCUUGGACUUAUAUUUAGCAAUGAGAAUGAACAUUCUGUUAUGUGACAUGGCAGUUUCGAUGAUGAAGCCCCUAUUUGGAUGAAAAAUCUUACAGGUUCCAUGUUGCAUGAGAACUGCAAGACCUUUCUCUUGUAGCUGCCCAAUGCUCAGUAGAUUGUUCUUCAGGUCUGGCACAUAAAACACCUCAGUAAUCACAUGCAUAAUUCCAUCUAUCUCCAUUCGAAUACUGCCCUUUCCUUGUACUUGUAAGCUUGCAUCAUUUCCCAGUUUAACUGAGUCUUUGAAUUCUUCAUUAAAAACAUCAAACAACUCCUUUUUACCACACAUAUGGUUGCUGCACCCUGAAUCCAGAAACCAUAUGCAUUCACUUCUGACUUGUUUAUCAUCCACGUACGCCAUGAGUAACAUUUCUUCACUGGUCUCAGCAAAAUAUGCCUGCUUCUCCUUCUUGGUACAUUCCCAUUGAAAAUGGCUAAGUCCAUGACAAUUGUAACACUCAAUCAUGGAUUUGUCAAAAACAGACCGGCCUCGUCCUCUUCCUCUUCCUCUUCCACGACUCCAAUUUCUUCCUCCUGGUUGAACUGCAUUUGUAACUUGUAGUGCUUGUUCAUCCAACGUAUGCCUGCUCAUCCGUUGUUCAUGAACGAGCAAAUUGCUUUGAAGCUCGUCAAUGGACAAAACAUCAAUAUCAUUUGAUUCCUCAAUUGAGCACACAACAUAAUCAAAUUUUGGAGUCAUGGAUCUUAAGAUCUUCUCAAUAACUACCACAUCAUUCAUCUGUUCUCCAUGAAUUCUCAUCUUGUUAAUAAUAGUGAGAGUUCGUGCAAAAUAAUCAUUCACUGAUUCUCCCAUUUUCAUGUGAAGUACCUCAAACUCUUUGUAAAGAGCUUGCAGCUGGGCACGUUUGACUCUGGCUGUGCCUUGAUACUUCUGUUUCAAGGAGUCCCAAAUGUCUUUCGACGUGUCUUUCUUCAAAAUUGUCUCCAAUAUCGAUCGAUCAAUGGCUUGAAAUAGAUAGUUCUUCACCUUCAGAUCCUUUAGCCUAUGAUCUUCGAUUGUCUUUCUUUGUUCUUCUGUAGGAUCCAUCCCUUCUGCUGCUGCAGGGAUCCCAGUCGCUACCAAACUCCAGUAUUCCUUGGAUCGCAAGAAGUUCUCCAUGAGCAUGCUCCAAUGAUCAUAAUGCCCAUCAAACUUAGGAAUGGCUGGCUGCACAAAACUACUUUCACUCGCCAUGAACUUCACUCACUGGACUUAUGUUUCUUAAAACUUUUGAUCAAACCCCGUGUGGAGGCUCUGAUACCAAAUGUUAAAAACAGAAAAGACUACAAUGAAAAACAGAGUAUAAGAGAGUUUGGUUCACACUAGUUUUUGCAGUCAAUCCACUAAUAUUCAAAGAACACGAUGGCCCUUUUUAAAGGCUUUACAAGAUAACUGAAAUGAAAUAAAUAACCACUAUUUUACAGCACCUGCAAUCGUGGGAGUUAAUUAUUUUGAACGUGCAACGUUACUUCCUUCAUAACAGGAACCGUUAUGCAAGUGAAGCAAUAAACAAGGAAGACUGAAGAAAAUCCUAACAACUUAAAGAAAACGUCAACUUUAACAGUCUCCAAUAUUUGAAUUUGGGGGCUUCUGGCGUGUCAGAAAUUCCCGGUAGCAUAGGCUCUUUGGUGUCGCUGAGAGAUUUGAGAUUAUCUUGUAAUGAUUUUGAGAGGAUACCUGCAAACAUCAAGCAACUUCCCAUGCUAAUUAAACUCGAUUUGCAUGGUUGUGAGAGGCUUCAACAUUUACCAGAGCUUCCAUCGAGUCUACAGGUUUUAAUGGCGUCAUAUUGCAUCUCUCUAAGAUCAUUAGCAAGUAUAUUCAUACAAGGUGAGAAAGAGUAUGCAGCUGCUUCUCAGCAAUUCAAUUUCUCUAAUUGUCUCAAAUUGGAUCAGAAUGCAUGCACUCGAAUUAUGGAAGAUGCCCAUUUAAGAAUUCGACGCAUGGCAUCAUCAUUGUUUAAUCGGGUGAAUUCUUCUUCCCUCGAUCUUGCUUUAAAAAAAAACCAUGAUAAUUUUGUAAAUGUAUCUCACAUUCUCACUCUCUUCGGUGCAGGAAUAUUUUGGUAAGCCAAUUAGAGUUAGGCUGUGUAUUCCUGGGUUGGAAGUCCCGGAGUGGUUCUGUUAUAAAAAUACAGGAGGAUCUUCAUUAAAUAUUCCAGCUCAUUGGCACCGUACUACUAACACUGAUCAGUUCCUGGGAUUCACCUUCUGCGCUGUUGUUUCAUUUGGCCACAGUAAGAAAAAGCGUCCCGUUAAUAUUAUAUGUGAAUGCCAUUUGAUAACCCAAGGUGGAAACCAGAGUGAUCUCAAUUUCUACUGCUAUGAAGAAGUUGAAAGAAAGGAGCGGUGUUUAUGGGAAAGGGAUCAUGUUUUCAUCUGGAGUAUCAACUCUAACUGCUUUUUCAAGGAGGCCUCGUUUCAUUUCAAACCACUGUGGGGAACUGCUGAUGUGGUGGUUAAGUGUGGAGUCCAUCCACUGUUUGUCCAAGACUGUUGAUGAAUCCUCUGUUAUUCAAAGAAUGUGCAUGGUGUCCAUGUUCAUGUGUUCAAAGAGCCCCCCUGCCUUCACUUAUGCUUCUUCGGCUGGAACUAUACAGGCGACGUCUCAAGGUUUGUCUACUAUCCAGUGAUCGGAUUUUUGAGUGUCUUUGGUCUCUGUGAGCUAGCCUUUAUAAAAAAGCAGAAGGCAAAUAGAUGAUGCAUAAAGUUUUACUGGUGUAUUACAGGCUCUUUGAAUUGAUUUAACAAGCAAACAAAGCCACAGCUGUGGUUUACUUCUUAUGUCUUAUCGUUAACCUGUUCUUGCAUUGAUUCUGCAGUGUCUUGGAGGUGCCUUACGAUUGUUCAGCCGAGGUAGACUUGCUGUAUUCACUUAUCGUUAAAGCAAUCGAUUCCAGAAGCCAAGGAAGCAACCAGAGACUUCAAGCAAACAUGUUGAUUGGUUUUGAUAUUGAAACACCCAGUACAUUCGUUUUGACAUUUUCACUUUCAGAUUUUUUGUUCUGCUCAGGACUCAAAACUCAACACUAAAUAUGUGAGAUUUUCUGAUAUCAUUCAAUUGGACAUCUCAACUCCUUGAAUUAUGUAUCCUUUAAGUUCUCUGAAUGAUGUGUCCCCUACUUCCUUGAGUGACAUGAAGGAUUUGUAUGGUAUAUUUGCAGUUCAGGCAUGUCAAAGUUUCAUGUUUUUGUUCUUUUGGGGAUGUAUGGUUUGUACUCCUCUUAUUAACUUUAUGUUCAUUGUGAAUGAAACCAAAGUACAGUAUAAAAACUCUGUUUUCAUGACUAUGGUAAGAAUCUUCUGUCCUAAGAAAGGUGUCAUGUCAUGUAUAUUACAAAUUACCUGUCAAGGUUCAGACAGUUAAAAUCUUAUGCAUCUGCAUUUCUACACUGGAAAUUAUCACCUAAAGUCUAAUUUCUACUGAUAUAGACCUCUAUCAAACAGGUGGGAAAAGAGGAUUGAGGAGUAGUGUAUCAGACUUCAUUAUUAUUAUUGCUUGAUGACUCGUAUUCAGAUCAUUAAUUACUCACUGUGGCCCUCAGCUCAGGUUUCUGACAUGUAUAGUUCACAGAGUGAAGACCAUAGAAGACUUAUCUAGAUUACCGUGGAAGAAAAAUGAUGUGGUUGUCAAUGACAAUGGACAAAGUGUGAUAGCAUCAUAUGUUAAGAGAAAAACAGUAAAUUCUUCAGUGGAAACUUUAAUCAUGGUCUAGCAAGGGUUGUCUGGAAAAAGAUUCCGGAAGACCACCAGUAUGCGCAAGGAAAUCACUGCUUGGCAGUGGGACAUCCUACUUUUUGACUAGUUUAUACACCCAGCCAGCGUUUAACACAAGAUAGAGACACAAGAUAGAGCUCAACUUUUCCUCAAUAAUUGAUUGGAAAUUGGCAUGCCACUCUCUCAUCAAUUAUUUAAGAUUUGAUACAGGAGAUGGGAACAUGAUUGCUAUUAUCCACAAAAAAAAAAAAAAAAAUUAGUACGCUGUUAAACCAUAAACAUUCCUUCCUGGAAACCGACCUCAACUUUUCCUCACCGACAAAGGCAAGAAAAAGGAAAAGAAGAUUGAUGACUAAUUGGUGGUAUGAAACAAGGAAUUUUAACUGGUAAUCUUCUUGAUAUAGACAAAUAUUUUUUUAUAUUUAAAGUGUUAUUUUUGUGUUUUGAAAAAUGUUUUUAAAGAAAAAUAAUUUUUUUAUUUAUUUGUUUUACUUUAAAUUAAUUGUUUUUGGUGGUUUUAAACUGUUUUGAUAUAGUAAUAUUAAAAUUAAAAUUUAAAAAUAUUAUUUUAAUAUAUCUUAAAAAACAAUUUGUGUUGGGUUUGGUUGGAGAUAAUAAUUAAUAAAAUCUAAUUCCCCACGUAUUCUGGUCUAAUUCCUCCAUUAAUUCAACUUUUUAAAAUAAUUAAUUACAAAAAAAUGUUGAGUCUUUGUCUGGUGAGUCAACCCAUGCGAGUCUUUGAUGUUAUACACAUUCCUUCCAGGAAACUGACCUCAACGUCUCUUCCAUGGCACAUUAAGGAAACAAGAGAAAGAAGACGAUAUAUUCUCGUUGUGGCACACAGAGGGUUAAAGAUCAACAAGCUGCCCUUGAUUAAUAACUGGUACAACUUUCUUCCUAUUCGUCCAUUAAUUUCUCUCUGUUUUGGGUUAGAUUCCACUUGUUUGGCCAUUGCUGUAGCAUCAUUCAUGUUCUUUAUAUAUGUUAGUGAGUUUUCCCUUUUAGCUCAAAAUGACUCUGUAAUUAAGAUCUCAGCUACUUUCCCACUGGCUCCUCUCUUUAUAACUUUCAUUGCUCUUCUUUGCUGGGCUAAUAUUUUUCUUCUUAAAUAUCUCUGAUCUGUUCUUUCUAUCUCAUUAUCUCUGAGCCAACAACGACUAAUUAAAUAAGAACCAAAUUGGUUUUUAGUUAUGAAUUUUCUUGUAUUUUAACUGUACCAUGUUCUCUGACAUUUUGAACUUUUAAAGAAUUCUUCUGACAGUUAUAAUUCACUUCUAUCUCCUUCUUUCCGAUUUUCCACAUGUUUUGGGCUUGAACCUCUAAGCUAUAGACCACUAUGAUUGACACCGUUUUCUAGUUGGUGUUAAUAAUAUGGUUUUGGGUUUAAAAAAAUAUAAAAAAUAAAAAAAUUCAUGAACAUGUUUUCUUUGGUUGUAUAUCAUAUAUAGUCAACGUGAUCUUUACUUGUUAUAUUACUGAUCAUUGUAAUUUGUAAUCGUUUUUUUUUCUUUUUUGUUCUUGCAGGGAAUAAUUGUCAGCGGUAGAAAGCUUACUUCUACAUAUAACAAGCAUACAAAAAUAUGGCUUCGUCUUCUUCUCUCACUACUCCAUCUUCCAAGCACGAUGUGUUCCUCAGUUUUAGAGGCACGGACACCCGCAAUAGUGUCACCAGUCAUCUUUAUGAUGCUUUGCAGCGAAACCAAAUUGAUGCUUACAUCGAUGACAAACUUGAUAGAGGAGAAAAGAUCGAGCCUGCCCUCUUGGAAAGGAUUGAAGAGUCAUGUAUUUCGCUAGUCAUUUUCUCUGAAAAUUAUGCAGAUUCUACUUUCUGUUUGAGGGAACUCUCCAAGAUUCUUGAGUGCAUGGAGACCAAACAACAGAUGGUCUUACCAGUUUUUUACCGACUUGAUCCAAGCCAUGUUCAAAAUCUGACUGGGAGCUAUGGAGAUGCACUUUGCAAGCAUGAAAGAGAUUGCAGUUCUGAAGAAGUACAGAGUUGGAGACAUGCUUUGAAAGAAAUAGCUAAUCUCAAGGGCUGGGAUUCAAACUUCAAUAAGUGAGUUAUUAAUUUAGUUACAGCAUAUUAAACCUCAACUUAUUUAACCAUUUUGUUCGAGAAUCAAUGUUGUGUUUGAUGUUAUGAUAAACUUUCUUAGGUUAUGACAGCAUGUCUUUGUUCUUUAUUUAUUAUGCACUGCAGGGAUGAGACCGAGCUAAUUCAGGAAAUCGUUACUGACAUUCAAAAGAAAUUGAACCGUGAGCUGUCACCCUCAUUUGAUUCAAAACGCCUUGUUGGAAUGAAAUCACGCGUUGAAGACAUCGAAUCAUUACUAUCCUUUGGAUCAACCGGAGUGCUCAUUGUGGGAAUCUGGGGGAUGGGUGGUAUAGGUAAGUCAACAACGGCUGAUGUUGUGUAUCAUCGAAACCGUAGUAAAUUUGAAGGCCAUUGCUGUUUCCAAGAUGUUAGGGAAGAAUCACGGAAGCAUGGAGUAGAUCAUGUAAGACAGGAAAUUCUUGGUGAAGUAUUAGAGAAAAAAGAUAUGACUAUACGCCCAAUAGGUUUACCCCCGGACAUUAAGCAAAUGCUUCAAAGAAAAAAAGUCCUCAUAGUUCUUGAUGAUGUCAAUGAUCCACAAGAUUUAAAAUAUUUACUAGGAGAGGAUGGUUUGUUUGGCCAAGGAAGUAGAGUCAUGGUGACAAGUAGAGAUAGGCAAGUGCUUAUAAAUGCAUGUGAUGAAGACAAAAUUUACGAGGUUGAAAUUUUAGAUGAAGACGAUGCACUUCGACUCUUCAGCUUCCAUGCUUUUAAACAAGAUCGUCCCAUAGAAGAAUUUAUUGGGCUAUCAAAAACCGUGGUAAGCUGUGUUAAGGGCAUUCCAUUAGUUCUCGAGGUUUUAGGUAGCAGUCUAUACAAAAAGACUGGUGUUGAAUACUGGGAAAGCAAGGUGGCACAGCUAAGAACAAAUGGUGGCGAGGACAUUAAGAAAUGUUUGGAAAUUUCUUAGGUUACAGUUGCUUGUUUUACUACUAGCCUGUCUUUGUUCUUAAUUUAUUAUGCACUGCAGGGAUGAGAUCAAGCUCAUUGAGGAAAUUGUUUCUGACAUUCAAAAGAAAUUACACCAUGAGACUUCAAGCAAACAUGUUGAUUGGUUUUGAUAUUGAAACACCCAAUACAUUCGUUUUGACAUUUUCACUUUCAGAUUUUGUGUUCUGCUCAGGACUCAAAACUCAACACUAAAUAUGUGAGAUUUUCUGAUAUCAUUCAAUUGGACAUCUCAACUCCUUGAAUUAUGUAUCCUUUAAGUUCUCUGAAUGAUGUGUCCCCUACUUCCUUGAGUGACAUGAAGGAUUUGUAUGGUAUAUUUGCAGUUCAGGCAUGUCAAAGUUUCAUGAUUUUGUUCUUUCGGGGAUGUAUGGUUUGUACUCCUCUUAUUAACUUUAUGUUCAUUGUGAAUGAAACCAAAGUACAGUAUAAAAACUCUGUUUUCAUGAAUAUGGUAAGAAUCUUCUGUCCAAAGAAAGGUGUCAUGUCAUGUAUAUUUCAAAUUACCUGUCAAGGUUCAGACAGUUAAAAUCUUAUGCAUCUGCAUUUCUACACUGGAAAUUAUCACCUAAAGUCUAAUAUCUACGGAUAAAGACCUAUAUUAGAGGAUUGAGUGGUGGUGUAUCAGACUUUAUUAUUAUUAUUGCUUGAUGACUCGUAUUCAGAUCAUUAAUUACUCACUGUGGUCCUCGGCUCAGGUUUCUGACAUAUAUAUUUCAUAGAGUGAAGACCAUAGAAUACUUAUCUAGAUCACUGUGCAAGAAAAAUGAUGUGGUUGUCAAUGACAAUGGACAAAGUAUGAUAACUUCACCUAACUAUCAUCGCCAAGAAGGUAGGAAAAAAGCAUCCACUUGCAGGAAGUUAAUGCGCUCUGCUAGAGUACGUGGUUUGAAUAAUUCAUCAUGCCAUCCUUUACAUAUUAAGUUAAGAUUACCUUACAAGUCUUGGUAAAAAUGCAGCAAAAGUGCAAACCCCUGUGGAGCUUUUUAGCUCUCUCUGAAAACAACCUCACUGGGGUCAUUCCGGCCUUUUUGUCAAACCUGACAGAAUUGACACAACUAGAACUGGCUGUGAACUACUAUACGGGGCAAAUCCCUGUGGAGCUUGGAGCUUUGAGCAGGCUUGAGAUUUUGUUUUUGCACCUGAACUUUCUUGAGGGAACAAUACCUGCAUCACUAAGUAAUUGCACUGCAUUGCGAGCAAUUUAAUUGAUUGAGAAUUGAUUAUCAGGGGAAAUCCCUUCAGAAAUGGGGAACAAGCUCCAAAACUUGCAGAAGUUGUAUUUUAUUAACAACAAUAUUUCUGGUAGGAUUCCAGUGACAUUCUCAAAUCUUUCACAAAUAACUCUGCUUGAUUUGAGUGUCAAUUACUUAGAGGGUGAAGUUCCUGAGGAACUGGGGAAGUUGAACCUUGAAAUCCUUUACCUCCAUAGCAACAACCUGGUUAGCAAUUCUUCUCUUAGUUUUCUUACUGCUCUCACAAACUGUUCAUUUCUGAAGAAACUGCACUUGGGCUCAUGUUUAUUUUCUGGGAGUUUACCUGCUUCCAUUGGAAAUCUUUCAAAAGACCUCUACUAUUUCAAUCUUUUGAGUAACCGUAUAAGAGGAAAGAUUCCAGAUAGUACUGGAAACUUGAGUGGCCUCGUGACCUACAACUGUGGUACAAUCACUUGGACAGGACAAUUCCAGCAACUUUUGGAAAGCUGAAGCUGUUGCAAAGACUAUGUUUGGGGAGAAACAAGCCGCAAGGUUCCAUUGCAGAUGAAAUAGGGCAGAUGGAAAACCUUGGCUUACUUGAUCUUGCCAAUAAUUCCAUAACCUCUCACAGUUGAGAUACCUUUACCUAUCGCAGAACAGCUUAGCAGGAAAUAUUCCCAUCAAACUCAGCCAGUGCUCUCUCAUGAUGCAGCUGGAUUUAUAUUUUAACAGCUUGCAGGGGCCUCUUCCAUCAGAAAUUGGAGUUUUUGCUAACUUGGGGCUCUCCCUCAACCUUUCAAAUAACAAUCUAGACGGGGAAAUACCUGCAACUAUUGGAAAUCUGGUAUCUCUACAAGCUAUUGACUUAUCAGUGUACAGAUUUUCUGGCAUUAUACCAAAGUUCAGUUGGUAGUUGUACGGCUUUGGAGUCCUUGAACCUAUCCAAGAACGUGAUUGAAGGUACAAUUCCAGAGUCAUUGAAACAAAUUGCAUAUUUAAAAGUACUGGAUUUGGCUUUUAAUCAAUUAACAGGCAGCAUUCCAAUCUGGCUAGCCAAUGACUCAGUGAUGAAGAAUUUCAACCUGUCCUAUAAUUGAUUAUCAGGAGAAGUUUCAAGUAUGGGAAGGUUUAAAAACCUUCCUCUAAAUUCUUCGGCAUGAAAGAUCGCAUGUGUAAACUAGACUGGAUAUUUCAUUCACCUUGCAGUCGAUUAAGAUCAUUUGACCAAAAUGAUUAUUUUCUUUUUUCAUUUUGCUAACAGUGCUUUGUUGCUUGUAAACAGAAUAUGGACAGAGUAAUGAAGUAUCAGUUAGAGGAGACGUAUACAGCUUCGGUAUCAUGCUGCUGGAACUGAUAACAAGGCAAAGACCAACAGGAGAAAUGUUCACAGACGGGCUUGAUCUAAGGAAGUGGGUGGGUGCCGCAACCCCUCAUCAUAUUUUGGAUGUGGUAGACAAGUCAUUGAAGCGAGAGGCACAUUCAAGUGGUGCUUUAGAGAAGCUAAAGCAAUGCUGUGUUCUUGUGAUCGAUGCAGGAAUGAUGUGCACAGAAGAGAAUCCACAAAGCCGUCCUUCCAUAUCUUUGAUCUCCCGAGGGCUCCAAAACCUUUGGAAAGCGAUGGAAUUUGGGAAAUGAAGCAUGGUUAAGCUAAAUAAAUAGCGGUGAUGAUUGUGUCAGUGAAAAAUAAGAUGUUGAAUGAGUUUGGUGAGAUGUUAUUAGAUAAUCAUCAAGGUUUACAUCGUUUAUUUCUCUCCCUUGCUUGCUUUAACAAAAAUAAUAUCUAUGUUAUGCUUUUGGCCGAAGUAUAAAUAAGUGUUCUUCUCUCUCUCUCUCUCUAAGCAGUUAGGUGGCAGCAUUAAAUCUAUUUUAAUACUAGGAAUUCGUCUCUUUCUUGCUGCUUAGGAAAAAUGGAAAACAAAUAAGAACUGAUUUUGAAUGAUCAAGUUCCCAAUGGGAGAAUUGUUCCGCAAGAACAAUAUGCUCUCUCUGCUACCUGCAAAGCAUCAGUUCCGUAUACUGAUUUUAACAAAGGAAUGAGCAAAGAAUAGAAGCCAUCAUCUCCACAAGUUUUUCAGUGAAAAACUAAAACACCAUUCACUUGUAUGGAAGAUGUUUCCACAAUAAAUUUGGUGAUUCAAUCCACAACAGCUUCGAACAGACUGAUGGCAAGUUCAUCUUAACGUCUAGUAUGAAGAACAUUUCAAAAGUUGUUGUGGAUUUUUUUUCAAAAGAUCAGGCCAUAGUUUUAUUUCAACAUUUCAUGUCUAGUAUGAAGAACUAAACAUGACACAUUACCUGUUGAUAUAAUUAACAACAAUGCAGCAGCAAAUUGAAACAGAAUGUCAUCAUACAUGAAAAUGCAGGUUGCCAUACUCAGAUUUAGAACCAACCGAAUGAUUACCAUCAAGAACAUUUGGCCAUUCAGGAUCUUUCUUUCAAGCAGAAAAGAAAAUCACCAGGAAAUCACUGCUUGGCUGUGUUCAAAAAUCAAAAGGGGACACAGAAAGUAAAGCAUCCGCGUACACGACGCUUUAACUCCUUUUUGCCGGUGGGACAUCCUACUUUUCGACUAAUUUAUACACCCAGCCAGCGUUUAACACAAGAUAGAGCUCUACAUCAAUAAUUCAUAAGAAAUUGGCAUGCCACUUUCUCAUCAAUUAUUUAAGAUAUGAUACGGGAGAUAAGAAAAUGAUUGCUAUUAUCUACACAAAAAAUAAUAAUUAGUACGCUGUUAAACCAUAAACAUUCCUUCCUGGAAACCGACCUCAACUUUUCCUCACCAACAAAGUAAAGACAAAGGAAAAGAAGAUAAUCGUUUUGAAUUGAGGUUGAAAUUUUUUUUUUUUGUUAAAAUUUAUAUAUUUUUUAGUAUUUUUACUUUAUUGAUAUCAAAAAUAAAUUUUUUUAAAAAUAAAAAUAUUAUGUUAAUAUAUUUUCAAAUAAAUUCUUUAAUUAAAAAUCAAACUUUAAAUGAUUCCGGACUAUAUUUUCAAAUUUUUUGUUUUGUUAAAAUGUUUUAGCGUGUAUUUUGGCUGUAAUAAACAGUUUAUUAAAGUCAUGAAAACUAGGCCAAUAUUUAAAAAAUUCCAAAAAAAAUUAUUUUGGUUUUUUUAAUAUCUGAGAUUAUAAACUUACAUGUAAGACGUACUUCCACUAUUAACAUUAGUUUCUUUUGUUGACGUUAGAAUAGUUAGAUUUUAUCCGAUAAGAUAAGAAUCUUCUUACUGAGGAUAACUUUUCUUAAACCGUAAACAGACCAACAAUUAGAAAAUACGAUAAAAUCAUAACAUAUAUUAGAUAAUAAAACAAUGUAGCUUAUCUUAGAUAGGACGUAUUUGGAGUGCUAAUACAUUCUUUUUACACAACCAGUCCUCAUACCAAUCUUUGAAAUCAUUUAGAAUUUUUAGUGAUUAAAAUAAUAAAUAGCGACUCUUAUUUUUUUUCAUUAAAAAAAACAAGGAUUUAUUAUCUAUCUAUAUUUACCAGAUAGGUACAUCACCUGAGAAUAGACAAUUAUUACAACGCCACACACUUGCACCAUAUGGUUUUGUACUCCUCUUAUUAACUUUAUGUUCAUUGUGAAUGAAACCAAAAUAGAGUAUAAAAACUCUAUUUUCAUGACUAUGGUAAGAAUCUUCUGUCCAAAGAAAGGUGUCAUGUCAUGUAUAUUUCAAAUUACCUGUCAAGGUUCAGACAGUUAAGAUCUUAUGCAUCUGCAUUUCUACACUGGAAAUUAUCACCUAAAUUCUAUUUUUUACUGAUAUAGACCUCUAUCAAACAGGUGGGAAAAGAGGAUUGAGGAGUGGUGUAUCAGACUUCAUUAUUAUUAUUGCUUGAUGACCGUAUUCAGAUCAUUAAUUACUCACUGUGGCCCUCAACUCAGGUUUCUGACAUGUAUAGUUCACAGAGUGAAGACCAUAGAAGACUUAUCUAGAUUACUGUGGAAGAAAAAUGAUGUGGUUGACAAUGACAAUGGACAAAGUGUGAUAGCUUCAUAUGUUAAGAGAAAAGUAGUAAAUUCUUCAGUGGAAACUUUAAUCAUGGUCUAGCAAGGGUUUUCUGGAAAAAGAUUCCGGAAGACCACCAGUAUCCACAGGGAAAUCACCAGGAAAUCACUGCUUGGCUGUGUUCAAAAAUCAAAAGGGCACACAGCAAGUCAAGCAUCCGCGUGCACGACGUUUAACUCCUUUUGGCCGGUGGGACAUCCUACUUUUUGACUAAUUUAUACACCCAGCUAGCGUUUAACACAAGAUAGAGCUCUACAUCGAUAAUGACUGAUAUUUUAAAACCAUAAACAUUCCUUCCUGGAAACCGACCUCAACUUUUCCUCACCGACAAAGUAAAGAAAAAGGAAAAGAAGAUAGAUGAAGAAUGGAGGUUGAACAUUUUUUUUUUUUUGUUAAAAUUUAUAUAUUUUUUAAUAUUUUUGGAUUAUUUUUAUUUAUUUAUAUCAAAAAUAAAUUUUAAAAAAUAAAAAAAUAUUAUUUUAAUAUAUUUUUAAAUAAAUACUUUAAAAAUCAAACUUUAAAUCAUCCCGGACUAUAAUCCAUUUGGUUUACUUGACUAUUAAUGAUCCGGGCCGGGAUACAAUAACUAUGACAAAUAGUCAUAUUUUCUCUUUUUUUAGUUCUAAAUUUCUAUUCACAUUAUCAAGUGUUUUUGAUUUUAGACAAGGAAGUGAACUUAGCUCAACUAGAUGAAAUAGAUAGUGAAAUAGAGAGAUUAUUGUAGAGUUUAAUCUUACAACAAGGGAGUGAACAAUUUUUUUCUCCUAAAAAAUCCACAUAAUUCGUGGUAUGAAACAAGGAAUUUUAAUCGGUAAUCUUCAUGAUAUUAACAAGUAUUUUUAUUUAUUUAAAGUUUGUUAUUUUUGUAUUUUAAAAAUAUUUUUGAAGAAAAAUAAUUUUUUUUAUUUUUUUUGCUUUACUUUAAAUUAAUUGUUUUAGAUUGUUUUGAUGUGAUAAUAUUAAAAUUAAAUUUUAAAAAUAUAAAAAUAUUAUUUAAAUAUAUUUUUAAAUAAAAAAUAUAUGUAAUUUGUGGGGUUUGGUUGGAGAUAAUAAUUAAUAAAAUCUAAUGCAUACCUGGAUAAUCUCCAUUAAUUCAACUUUUUAAAAUAAUUAAUUACAAAAAAAAUGUUGAGUCUUUGUCUGGUGAGUCAACCCAAGCGAGUGUUCUAUUAAAUUAUUAAUUUUCAUUCCCAACUUAUAAUUGGUUAGAUAAUCCCCACUUGCUCAGCGUUUGCUAGUAAACAAUAGUAGUUUGAUGUUAUACACUUUCCUUCCAGGAAACUGACCUCAACGUCUCUUCCAUGGCACAUUAAGGAAACAAGAGAAAGAAGACGAUAUUGUUUCCUCGUUGUGGCACACAGAGGGUUAAAGAUCAACAAGCUGCCCUUGAUUAAUAACUGGUACAACUUUCUUCCUAUUCGUCCAUUAAUUUCUCUCUGUUUUGGGUUAGAUUCCACUUGUUUGGCCAUUGCUGUAGCAUCAUUCAUGUUCUUUAUAUAUGUUAGUGAGUUUUCCCUUUUAGCUCAAAAUGACUCUGUAAUUAAGAUCUCAGCUACUUUCCCACUGGCUCCUCUCUUUAUAACUUUCAUUGCUCUUCUUUGCUGGGCUCAUAUUUUUCUUCUUAAAUAUUCCGACUCUGUUCUUUCUAUCUCAUUAUCUCUGAACCAACAACGACUAAUUAAAUAAGAACCCAAUUGGUUUUUAGUUAUAAAUUUUCUUGUAUUUUUACUGUACCAUGUUUUCUGACAUUUUGAUCUUGUCCAACAAAUUUUUUGAAGAAUUCUUCUGACAGUUAUUAUUCACUUCUAUCUCCUUCUUUCUGAUUUUCCACAUGUUUUGGGCUAGAACCUCUGAGCUAUAGAUCACUAUUAUUGUCUGAUCAUUCUAAUACACUCUUGUUUGAUCAUAUUUAGCCUUUAUUUAUGAGAUAUAAGAACUCAAAUAAUCUCCCAACUGUCCUCCAUCCGCUAGCUUCUCUCUUUAUUUAUCAGGUGUAAGAUCUCAACUAGUCUUUGACUAAUAGUGAAUCAAUUUUUGCCAUCUGCCUUCUGAUCUCACUUCUCCAUUUGAAUUUUCCAGUUGGUGUUAAAUAAUAUGGUUUUCGUUUUAACGAAUAUUCAUCGACAUGGCUCUUACUAGUUAUAUUACUCAUCAUUAUAAUUAUAUCGUUUGUUUUCUUAUUGCUUGUUACAGGGAAUAAUUAUCACAAGUAGAGCUUACUUCUACAUAUAUCAAGCAUAUACAAAUAUGGCUUCCUCUUCUUCUCCCACUACUCCAUAUUUGAAGCACGAAGUGUUCCUCAGUUUUAGAGGCACAGACACCCGCAAUAGUUUCACCAGUCAUCUUUAUGAUGCUUUGCAGCGAAACCAAAUUGAUGCUUACAUCGAUAAUAAACUUGAUGGAGGAGAAAAGAUCGAGCCUGCCCUCUUGGAAAGGAUUGAAGAGUCGUUUAUUUCGCUAGUCAUUUUCUCUGAAAAUUAUGCAGAUUCUACUUUCUGUUUGAGGGAACUCUCCAAGAUUCUUGAGUGCAUGGAGACCAAACAACAGAUGGUCUUACCAGUUUUUUACCAACUUGAUCCAAGCCAUGUUCAAAAUCUGACUGGGAGCUAUGGAGAUGCACUUUGCAAGCAUGAAAGAGAUCGCAGUUCUGAAGAAGUAGAGAGUUGGAGACGUGCUUUGAAAGAAAUAGCUAAUCUCAAGGGCUGGGAUUCAAACGUUAUUAAGUAAGUUAUUAAUUUAGUUACAGCAUAUUAAGCCCCAACUUAUUUAAACAAUUUUGUUCGAGAAUCAAUGUUGUGUUUGAUGUUAUGAUAAAAUUUAUUAGGUUAUGACAGCAUGUGUUUGUUCUUUAUUUAUUAUGCGCAGGGAUGAGACCAAGCUAAUUCAGGAAAUUGUUUCCGACAUUCAAAAGAAACUUAGCCAUGAGCUGUCACUCUCAUUCGAGGAAGAAGGCCUUGUUGGAAUGGAAUCACGCGUUGAAGACAUCGAAUCAUUACUAUCCUUUGGAUCAACCGGUGUGCUCAUCGUGGGAAUCUGGGGGAUGGGUGGUAUAGGUAAGUCCACAACGGCUGAUUUUGUGUAUCGUCGAAACCGUAGUAAAUUUGAAGGCCAUUGCUGUUUCCGAAAUGUGAGGGAAGAAUCACGGAAGCAUGGAGUAGAUCAUGUCCGACAGAAAAUUCUUGGUGACGUAUUAGAGAAGAAAGAUAUGACUAUACGCACAAUAGUGUUACCCCCGGACACUAAGCGAAUGCUUCAAAGAAAAAAAGUCCUCAUAGUUCUUGAUGAUGUCAAUGAUCCACAAGAUUUAAAAUAUUUACUAGGAGAUGAUGGUUUGUUUGGCCAAGGAAGUAGAAUCAUGGUGACAAGUAGAGAUAGGCAAGUGCUUAUAAAUGCAUGUGAUGAAGACAAAAUUUACGAAGUUAAAAUUUUAGAUGAAGACGAUGCACUUCGACUCUUCAGCUUACAUGCUUUUAAACAAGAUCGUCCCAUAGAAGGAUAUGCUGGGCUAUCAAAAACCGUGGUAAGCUGUGUUAAGGGCAUUCCAUUAGUUCUCGAGGUUUUAGGUAGCAGUCUAUACAAAAAGACUGGUGUUGAAUACUGGGGAAGCAAGGUGGCACAGCUAAGAACAAAUGGUGGCGAGGAAGUUGAGAAAUGUUUGGAAUUGUGUUAUCAGGAAUUACGCGACACAGAAAAGAAAAUAUUUCUUGACAUAGCAUGUUUCUUUGGACGGUGCAAAAGGGAUCACCUCCAACAAACACUAGAUCUGGAAGAAAGAAGUGGGAUAGAUCGUCUCAUUGAUAUGUGUCUCAUAAAAAUUGUUCAAAACAAGAUCUGGAUGCAUGAUGUGCUAGUAAAACUAGGGAAAAAAAUUGUCCACCAAGAAAACGUUGACCCUAGAGAACGUAGCAGGUUGUGGCAGGCUGAUGAUAUCUAUCGAGUAUUAACAACUCAGGUAGCGUUUCCAAGUUAUUUAAUUGACUGUUGCUUGACUUUCUUGUUUAUAGCUAAGAGAUGUAGCCUUGGACAAGAAUAAAUAUCAAGGCCAGCUUCUUCUUCUUCUUCUUUAUUUGUUAUAUAUAUACUGAUUUACACUUUGCUUUUGUUAAAUAGAGGACUGGAUCAAAAGUGGAAAGCAUUUCCCUCAACUUGCUUGCAAUUACUGAAGAAAUGAUCUUAAGUCCUACAGCAUUUGAAGGGAUGUAUAAUUUAAGAUUGCUCAAAAUCUACUACCCACCUUUCUUAAAGGAUCCCUCAAAGGAGCAAAUUAUGAACGGAAAGAGGGUCGGAAUCCGCCUUCCAGGAGGGCUUCACUUUCUUUCAAGUGAGCUAAGGUUUCUCUACUGGUAUAAUUACCCUUUGAAAUCCAUGCCAUCAAAUUUUUUCCCUAAGAAACCUUUUCAACUUGAAAUGCCUUGUAGCCAGCUUGAACAAUUUUGGAAUGAAUACCAGGUAUAUAUGCUUUAUCACCCUUCUUCUUCAAAUAGAGGACUUUUUUGAAAUUAUUCAUAACAUUUAUCUCUUCUUACAUUACUUUUUUUUUUUUUUUACAGCCACUUGAGAUAUUAAAAUUAAUGAACCCCCCUUCCUCAAAGCCGAGCUUAAUUGAUUCAGACCUGUUUAAAGUCCCACACCUUGAGGUUCUACAUCCAGGUAUACCUUCCUCGAUUAAAUACAGCACCAGACUUACCACAUUAGAGCUUCCCAGACUCGAGAGUUUCUAUACUUUGCCAUCAUCAAUUGGGUGCCUCUCUCAACUUGUUAGAUUAAACUUAUCUUCAUGUGAAAGUCUUGCUAGUCUACCGGACAACAUUGAUGAGUUAAAAUCUCUUGUAGAGCUUGAUCUUUAUUCUUGCUCAAAACUAGCAAGUCUUCCAAAUAGCAUUUGCAAGUUGAAAUGUCUUACUAAGCUUAAUCUUGGUCGUCAGCCAAAACUAGCAAGUCUACCUGACAACAUUGGGGAGCUGAGAUCUCUUGUAGAGCUUAGUCUUUCUUCUUGCUCAAAACUAGCUAGUCUACCCGACAGCAUUGGCGAGUUGAGAUCUCUUGAAUGGCUUGAGCUUUAUGGUUGCUCAGAACUAGCAAGUCUACCAGACAACAUUGACAAGUUGAAAUCUCUCGAAUGGCUUCAUCUUAGAGGUUGCUCAGGACUAGCAAGUCUACCGGACAACAUUGGCGCGUUGAAAUCUCUCGAAUCGCUUGAUCUUAGUGAUUGCUCAGGACUAGCAAGUCUACCGGACAGCAUUGGCGCCUUGAAAUCUCUCGAAUCGCUUCAUCUUUAUGGUUGCUCAGGACUAGCAAGUCUACCAGACAGCAUUGGCGCGUUGAAAUCUCUCCAAUCGCUUGAUCUUAAGGGUUGCUCAGGACUAGCAAGUCUACCGGACAACAUUGGCGCGUUGAAAUCUCUCGACUGGCUUCAUCUUUAUGGUUGCUCAGGACUAGCAAGUCUACCGGACAGCAUUGGCGCGUUGAAAUCUCUCGACUCGCUUCAUCUUUAUGGUUGCUCAGGACUAGCAAGUCUACCGGACAGCAUUGGCGCGUUGAAAUCUAUCGAAUCGCUUUAUCUUUAUGGUUGCUCAGGACUAGCAAGUCUACCGGACAACAUUGGCGCGUUGAAAUCUCUCGAAUGGCUUCAUCUUUCUGGUUGCUCAGGACUAGCAAGUCUACCGGACAGCAUUGGCGCGUUGAAAUCUCUCAAAUCGCUUCAUCUUUCUGGUUGCUCAGGACUAGCAAGUCUACCGGACAGCAUUGGCGCGUUGAAAUCUCUCGAAUGGCUUCAUCUUUAUGGUUGCUCAGGACUAGCAAGUCUACCGAACAGCAUUGGCGCGUUGAAAUCUCUCAAAUCGCUUCAUCUUUCUGGUUGCUCAGGACUAGCAAGUCUACCGGACACCAUUGGCGCGUUGAAAUCUCUUCAAUGCCUUGAACUUAGUGAUUGCUCAGGACUAGCAAGUCUACCGGACAGCAUUGGCGCGUUGAAAUCUCUCGAAUCGCUUCUUCUUUAUGGUUGCUCAGGACUAGCAAGUCUACCGGACAGCAUUGGCGCGUUGAAAUCUCUCGAAUGGCUUCAUCUUUAUGGUUGCUCAGGACUAGCAAGUCUACCGGACACCAUUGGCGCGUUGAAAUCUCUCAAAUCGCUUGAUCUUAAGGGUUGCUCAGGACUAGCAAGUCUACCGGACACCAUUGGCGCGUUGAAAUCUCUUCAACACCUUGAUCUUAAUGGUUGCUCAGGACUAAAAAGUCUACCGGAAAGCAUUGGCGAGUUGAAACGUCUUACUACGCUCGAUCUCAGUGGUUGCUUAAAACUAGCAAGUCUUCCAAACAACAUCAUUGAUCUUGAAUUUAAAGGACUUGACAAACAACAUUGUUAUAUGCUGAGUGGAUUCCAGAAAGUAGAAGAAAUUGCAUCAUCCACCUAUAAAUUGGGCUGCCAUGAAUUUUUAAAUUCGGGAAAUUCUUGUGUGUUAAAAACUCAAGAGAGAUUAGGCUCUUUGGUGUCGCUAACACAAUUAAGAUUAUCUCAUAUUGAUUUUGAGAGGAUACCUGCAAGCAUCAAGCAACUUACUAAGCUAAGUACACUCUAUUUAGAUGAUUGCAAGCGGCUUCAAUGUUUACCAGAGCUUCCAUCAACUCUACAAGUUUUAAUCGCAUCAGGUUGCAUCUCUCUAAAAUCUGUAGCAAGUAUAUUCAUGCAAGGUGAUAGAGAAUAUAAAGCUGUUUCUCAGGAAUUCAAUUUCUCUGAAUGCCUCCAACUAGAUCAGAAUUCACACACUAGAAUUGUGGGUGCUGCCCAUUUACGAAUUCAACGCAUGGCAACAUCAUUGUUUUAUCAGGUGAAUUCUUCCUCCCUCGAUCUUGAUUUCUUUAAAGAAAAAAAUCACGAUAAUUUUUUAUAUGUAUCUCACAUUCUCACUCUCUUCGGUGCAGGAAUAUCAUGGUAAGCCAUUAAAAGAAGUCCGAUUGUGUAUUCCUGGGUCGGAAGUCCCGGAGUGGUUCAGUUAUAAAAAUAGAGAAGGAUCGUUAGUACAAAUUCAGCAACCAGCUCAUUGGCAUCGUGGUUUCACUUUAUGCGCUGUUGUUUCAUUUGGCCAAAGCGGGGAAAGGCGUCCCGUUAAUAUUAAAUGUGAAUGCCAUUUGAUAUGCAAAGAUGGAACCCAGAUUGAUCUCAGUUCCUACUACUAUGAAAUAUAUGAAGAAAGGGUGAGGAGUUUAUGGGAAAGGGUGCAUGUGUUCAUUUGGAGUGUCCACUCUAAGUGCUUUUUCAAGGAGGCCUCAUUUCAAUUCAAAUCACCGUGGGGAGCUACUGAUGUGGUGGUUGCGUGUGGAGUCCAUCCACUGUUUGUCAACAAGCCCUAAAAUUGAUGGAAAAUGCUUGACACCGGUAACUUAAUGCUAUGGAUGCAUGGUUUCGCUCGUUGACACUGGUAACUCAUCUUCUCCUCUUCUUUUUCUAUACAAAUAUUUAUGAAACAACUCAAUUAAAAUGAAACCAAAUAGUCUUAUGAAUUAGAGAUGAAAAGGAUAUAUUUAUCAAUUGGAUCCCAUCUAUCACAUAUUAUACCAAUUAACCCCACCAUUAAAAUUUAUGAUAUAAAUGACAUCAUUUUUAGGGGUGGUUCUAAAUUCGUAAUAAAAAUAAAUAAAUAAAAUUCAGGUUUGGUAAGUUAACUCGAGUUAAUUUUUAUUAUUUUUAACAGAUUUUUUUUCUUCUCAAUUUCAUCCUUCAACAGUAAGUUUUGUGGGUUACCAAAGAUGGCUCAAGUUUUUUUUGGUCAUUUUUUAAUUGAUUUUUUUAUUUUCAUCAUUUAACAUUGAGUUGAUUGAGAAUUUGACUUCAUAUUUUUAUUUUAUUUAUUUCUAUAGAUUCCCGAUCUUAUAAUCCGAGUUUAACAAGUUAACCAGGGUUGAAUUGAGAUAUUUUUUUAAUUGAUUUUUUUCAAUUGAAUCUUUCAACAUUAGGUUGAUUGAGAAUUGUAAUUUGUAAUUUAUUUUCUAUAGAAUUACUAAGAUCUCAUGACCCGGGUCGAUGGUUAGCUCGAUUGCCUCAAGGCUUUUUUUUAUUGAAAUUGUAUUUUAUAUUGAAAUUGAGUCAAAUUCGGUGCUGUAGAACUGUAGACAUUUGUAUUUUAUAUUGAAAUUGUUUUGACUCAAAAAGGUUAUUUUGAUUUUAAUGAAUUGUCAGGAGAAACUAUUAAUUCGGAGGAGGAGAGCGUAUCUAAUAGAAUUCGACAAGUUUCCCCAUCUCAGGGUCCAACACUGCCCAUUUUGCCUAUGGACAAACUGGAACUGGAAAGACAUUUACUAUGGAGGGCAGCCCAGAAAAUAGGGGAGUGAACUACAGAACAUUGGAUGAGUUGUUCUCAAGAGAGAAGUGGCAUUAUGAGAUAUGGUCCUUUUUGUUAGUAUGAUGGAGGUUUACAAUGAGAAGAUAAGGGACCCCUUGAUUGAGAGUUCCAACCAACCGCCUAAAAAGUUAGUUUCCUCUUUUAUUGCUACUGUAUUGAUCUGAUAAUCAAAAUAUAGUCAUUUAUGUCAAAAUUUUUGGUUGCAAAAAUUUUAUAUUAAUAAUUUUCUGUAGCACUGAUUUAUAUCAUUUUGCUACUUGGUGAGGGAAAUUAACUAUUGGUGAGGGAAAUUAACUAUUGGUUAAUACAAACAUCAUGCAUGAAGUUCUGUAUCAGCUCAAUUUUCAUUUGAGCACUCGAUAGCAAAUGAUAAUAAAUACCUUGCUCCUCUCUUGUGUAGAUAAGCAUGACAUCUAAUUGGGUUUAGGGUUUAAAAGAUUAUGUAAAGACUCCUAUUUGGAAGCCCACUGGUAUGAAAGAUUUAUAGUCUAACGUUAAGAAAUUGAGUUACAUGAAUGAAGUUUGAUGAAAUUUUAGUUUUCUUACAUGCAUGAAGGUUGGAGAUAAAACAAACUGCUGAAGGAACACAAGAAGUCCCAGGACUUGUUGAAACUCGGGUGACUGGCACGGAGGAUGUGUGGGAUUUACUCAAGUCUGGAAGUCGGGCCAGGUCUGUUGGAUCAACCAGCGCUAAUGAGCUUAGCAGCCGUUCUCAUGGGUAAAAAUGAACUCUGCUUUCUUUUCUUGGUUUAUUCUUUCUAAGAAUAUACUUUAUGGUAUAUCACAUUUAAUAGCAACUAAAUAGUUUUUUGGAUCUGUGAAUCCAAACUAUUCAAGGAAUAUACUGAUUAAUUAAAGUGGUAGUACUAAUGACCACAACAUUGUUGGUCUGUAGUUUUUUGCGAGUAACAGUGAAAGGGGAGAAUUUGGACAAAAGACAAGGAGUCACCUAUGGAUGGUCGAUUUGGCUGGAAGUGAACGUGUGGUGAAAGAUGGAAGGAAUCGCAAUUCAUUAAUAAUUCUCUUUCAGCACUUGGUGAUGUUAUAUCUGCCCUCGCAUCUAAAACUGGCCACAUUCCUUACAGG